UCGCACAUAUUAUUGAGACCAACUAGCAACAUAGAAAGCACAAUAUUGUACCAAUAAUGGCAGCCAAAAUAUUUUGCCUCAUUAUGCUCCUUGGUCUUUCUGCAAGUGCUGCUACGGCGAGCAUUUUCCCGCAAUGCUCACAAGCUCCUAUAGCUUCCCUUCUUCCCCCAUACCUCUCACCAGCGAUGUCUUCAGUAUGUGAAAAUCCAAUUCUUCUACCCUACAGGAUCCAACAGGCAAUCGCAGCAGGCAUCUUACCUUUAUCACCCUUGUUCCUCCAACAAUCAUCAGCCCUAUUACAGCAGUUACCUUUGGUGCAUUUAUUGGCACAAAACAUCAGGGCACAACAACUACAACAACUCGUGCUAGCAAACCUUGCUGCCUACUCUCAGCAACAGCAGUUACCUUUGGUGCAUUUGUUGGCACAAAACAUCAGGGCACAACAACUACAACAACUCGUGCUAGCAAACCUUGCUGCCUACUCUCAGCAACAACAGUUUCUGCCAUUCAACCAACUAGCUGCAUUGAACUCUGCUGCUUAUUUGCAGCAACAACAACUACUACCAUUCAGCCAGCUAGCUGCUGCCUACCCCCGGCAAUUUCUUCCAUUCAACCAACUGGCAGCAUUGAACUCUCAUGCUUAUGUACAACAACAACAACUACUACCAUUCAGCCAGCUAGCUGCUGUGAGCCCUGCUGCCUUCUUGACACAGCAACAUUUGUUGCCGUUCUACCUGCACACUGCGCCUAACGUUGGCACCCUCUUACAACUGCAACAAUUGCUGCCAUUCGACCAACUUGCUUUGACAAACCCAGCAGUGUUCUACCAACAACCCAUCAUUGGUGGUGCCCUCUUUUAGAUUGCUUAUGAGUUAUAGUUCAAUAAUAAAGUUUUUUUUGCUGAUAUUUGUGGCUUCCCAGAAAUAAGAAAGUACAUUUCUAGAUUCUUAUGUGCUUCUAGUCUCCAAAUGUGGUUGAUAGUUAUUUUGCUCUAAGAUCGGCAGUAAUGAGGUAUAAAUACUUGUUGUCGUGUGCUACUCGGUUAAUUGAGCAUUAACACACAUAAACAUUACAAGGAUGGUAUAAUCUCCUAAAAUGUGUACAUUGUUAGGUGUAACCCUAUAGCCAUGCAGAAUGUGCUAUGUUAGGCAUGCCGAUGGAAACGUGUGACACAUACGUUUUGUUAACCUAUUGAUAUUAUAUGUGCCUUUUAUAUUACCAUAUUUUAUUAAAAUACUAAUAUUUAUUACUAGUAAGAUAUAACAUUCUAUCUAGCUUAAAAACUAACCAUAAAUAUUCCAUCAUAACUAGAUUUACCAAACUAAUAUACUAAAUAUACAUAAUAAAUACAAAAUUAACAAUACAAUAUCAAUAUUUAUGAGCUUAAUAAAUUUAAACAUUAUGGUUGGCCGACGAUAAUCAUACUGACUUUCCGUAAUUGCUUGAUUGUAAAUAUACUUAGACUAAUGCCUCUUUGUUCUACAUGGCAAAUAGGGACCACUCUAGGAGACUAGGAUGUUGCUUGAGACGAAGAUGUUAUCAUUGGUGUAGACUAAUUUCUAUCAGCCGCUGACUUCACUAUUGUAACCAUUAUCUCUUGGGUAAAUCAUAUACGAUUAUCUAGCCAAAGGCCCAGAUGAUAAAAACAAUUUUUAAUUGCUAUUUCAGGACAAAUGAAUUAGCAUGGUUCGAAGGAUUGCGACCUUCCCCCCAUGACUUUUAUCGUAUUGUGUUAGUCUAAUCGACAAAACCAAGAUUAGAUAUCAUCGAAGAAGUUGAUAAGCGAAUCUGUGACCACUAUCAGAAUCAGCUGCUUUGCCGAGUGUCUAAAACACUCGACAAAGCCUGAAAAACACUCGGCAAAGGAUUUGCCGAGUGUAACACUCAGCAAAGAAAGCUCGGCGAAGUAUACAUCGGCAACGACUUCUUUGCCGAGUACUUUUUAUCGGGCACUUGGCAAAGAAGCGUCAUUGUCACGACGAUAGGUAAUGCCGACGGAGUCUGUGACGAGUGUCACAGAGUGACGCUCAGCAAAGGCUCACUCUUUGCUGAGUGACCACUGUACAGACACUCGGCAAAGAAGCCCCCGUGGGUCCCUUUAUCAGGGCCUUUGCCGAGCGUAUUAGGUGGCACUCGGCAAAGGCUCCAUCUUUGGUGACUGCCCGCCAGACUAGCAAUCGACAAAGGGAUCAACAGCGGAUCCCUUUGUCAGUUCUUUUGUCGAGUGCUCUAGGAGGCACUCAAUAAAGCUUGUGUUGGGGGCCUUCUUCUUCCGAAGGUCCUCAAAAACGUGACUAACCAUAGGUUUUCAGUAUGACAUAGACUAUUAUAGGAAGCUUUGGCUUUGGGAUGAAGGCGUGUGAUAUGAGGAUACAGCCCAAAGGCAACAUGGAUGGACGUCGAAGCUAUGGCUAAAGGAGUUUCGGCUUGGCAUGUUAGCGAAGAUGAAGGACGAAACCGACCUAAGGGAGAAAAGACUAGUUAGUCCUUGAUAGUUUGCAUUAUGAUUAAGAGCAGAUAUCAGGGGCAUGCAUGUAAUCUUAUCCGGGCUGCGUCCCGUGCCUAUGAAUAGAUGAAUAGUAACACCGUACUGUUCACGCUGGAUUAUAAUCGCUCCUACGUCACUCUCGCGUCUUCACCUUUUGGUAAGCUGAAGGUAUCAAUGUAAUACAAAUAUUGAUGAUGUUUAUUCAUGUUUAUGAAAUGAGAAUAUAAAUAGCUUGCUGAUUCGUAAUCAUUAUUUAUAUUCUUUUGUAUUUCAUGUACCCUUAUUUAGAUGUGUUCACUGAGAUGAUGAAGGUAUGCCCUUCAUGACCUUCGUUCGGAAACCAUUAUAUCCAAAAGGAGAUAAUGCUUCGAAGGACGAAGGUCUCUAAUUAUUGACAAUCAUGUUGUCUUGUUCUUGAUGUAUAGCAUUUGGGAACAAGGACCAACAUUGGCGCCCACCUCCCGUGAACUCAAUCGACCACCUUCGGCAAGCAUCGACUUUCGUAAUGCCGCCGAAGAAGACAAUAGUGCCAGGGGCUGCCCUGCAGCCACUGGACACUAAUCAGGAAACGCUGCGAGAAGCUAGGAUCUAGAAGAGGAAGGCUACUAGCCCAACACCUCAGGAGGAGGAGCUAGAUCAGGAGAUCAGAGAUUUGGAGGCUAUCACCAGCAGGUACAAAGAAAAAGGGAAAAGAUGCUUCAGCUCGUCGAACUUCAGAGAAAGAUCGACAAAGCUGCUGAAGAAAUGCGUCACCUUACCCAGGAUGACCAAGACCGAAGGCCCCAACAUAGGGAGCUUCAUCAAGAAAGCCCAAUUAAUGACGAUGAGUGGUAUGGUGACUUUCAUCGUGGCAAUUUUGCUUUUGAUGAUGCUUCUCCCUUGGCAGCAGAAUUGCAGGCUACCCCGUGGCCGCCAUCAUACAAGCCACCUCAGCUCCCCAUGUAUGACGAGCACUCAGACCCGAAGCAACCAUAUCCUCAUAUGGGGGCAAUACUGCGGUCAUGGCAAAGUCCUUCGUCAUGGCAGUUAGAAGCGUGGCUCAAACAUGGUGCUCUUCUCUUCGGCCAGGGACAAUUACGUCGUGGCAAAAGCUAAAAUACAUACUGGUCACUAGCUUCUAGGGUUUCCAAUCGAAACCAGUUACUGUCCAAACUCUGUUCCAGUGCACACAGGACCAAGAAGAAUACCUCCAAGCGUAUGUCCGAAGGUUCCUGCGAUUGAGAGUUCAGGCGCCUACAGUGCCCAAUGAGAUUGUCAUUGAGGCCAUGAUCAAGGGGUUCAGACCAGGACCAACGGCGCAAUACUUUGCAAGGAAGCCACCACAAACCCUAGAGAAGCCGACGAUGAUUUUCGGCAAAGAAGGCAAGAAGCCUACAGAUACUCUGAGAUGGCCAGGGGCUUCGGAGGAAGAUUUCACCCUAGGCAUGUCAGGUCAAUCCAUAAUACCAGCUCAAGUGACGACAAGGGAAACCAUACCCAAAGGCAGCAACACAGCUCUCAGUCGUCAGGAGCACAACAAAGCUCUUUGAGGCCACCGGCUCCAAGAGGUAGAGGGGGGAGAAGCUUCGGAGGAAGAUAUGGAGAUCAGCCCAGUAAACAGUUUUGUUUGUUCUGCGGUGAAGAUAAGGGGCAUACCACAAGAACGUGCCAAGUUAUGAUUCAGAAGCAGAAAGAAAUUGCUGAAGCUGAAGCACGUUCGAAUCAGCCGAAGCAGGUUCUGCAUACUGCUUCGUGCUACUCUCCCUACGUCCCGGAGUAUGUAGACAAUCAACAGCCUACGACCUUGGUCGCUUCGGCAAGCCAUUCUCAAGCUUCCUGGGCCCAGUUGCCACCACCACCACCGCUAGCACAUGCUCUGGUCCGCAAUCAAUAGCCAGAAGGGCACCACCAUGCUUAGUAAUAGCGCGACCUUCGGGAGGAGUCCGAAGCUCGCACAGUCAACAACAUUGUGCCUAAGUCGAAGCACAUCUAUUAAAGGUGCCACGGUGAUUCAAUUAAAGAAUAUCUUACCCUAAUGUAUCUUAGUUUUUCCGCCAUUUUAUUUUCUUGCAUGAAAAACAAUUCACGAAGGAUUAAUUUCCAAUUUGAUGUAAUAAUACCGUGGUCGCACCAUCGAGUGUGGAGCGCAUCGCCUUAACAAUACUUCCGAAGCUACAAAGACGUUCCUAAGGGAGCGCGGAGUAAGUUCUGAAGCUACAAAGUUGUUCAUAAGGGAGCGCAGAGUAAGUUCCGAAGCUCAAAAGUCGUUCUUAAGUGAAUGCAGAGCCAAGAUGCCACCAAAAUAAAAGGUGAAGAAGCUCAAAAGUCAUUCCUAAGGGGAUGCAGAGCUUAAAUGCCACCGAAAUAGAAGGUGAAGAAGUUCCAAAGUCGUUCCUAAGGGGAUGCAGAGCUUAGCUCCAAAGAUGUUCCUAAGGGGAUGCAGAGCUGAAAUAUAACCUAAGUAAAAAGUGAAGAGACUCAAAAGUCGUUCCUAAGGGGAUGCAGAGUCUGGAUGCAUUUUCGAGUGGGUGUGUUUCUUCGGCAUAAACAUCAUGCUGUAUCAUAUCAUCACAUCAUUUCUCAUAGCAUUACAUCAUACAUCACAUCACAUCAGCAACAGAACUGUGGAGAAGCAAAGAUGCUUCUUUCAAAAUAUUUGAUGAAUGGAACAAUGGGCUGAAGCAGAAAGUGUACCUUCAACAGCUAUAAUUUUACAUACCAAGAAAAAUCUUCGUCGACAAACAAUAUUAUAUAACAGCUACGACAUAAGAAGGGGUGAUUUUUUAUUUGUGAAGCAUGAAAAGAAGGGAAGGUGUUUUUUCACCAAAGGCUAAAAAACAGGUAAGUACAUACAUUUCAUGCAUCACAAAGAAAUAUAUUACAUUAAUAUACAAACAAAUGUUCGAUGUUCGACUCAUACACGAAUAUUACAUUUCUUAGUACACAAGAAUUUAGUCUUCUUUCAAUAUUUUCUCGGUAGCUUCAUGUAGGAGUUUGUUGACAGCUUCAUCAACGGCUUCUUCGGCAAUCCUUAUCGUUUCUAAUGCCCCCCUCAUGGCCGGAUCGGCCUCGGGAUCAUAUGGCUCAGGCGGUGGUGAAAAAUCAGCUGUAAUAAAGAACAAGUUGUUAAUAUCAAAGCCAGAAACAAAUACUGAAGCUAAAAUUCAGUAAUAAUACCUAUACGCCUUGCGCGCUCAGCAACCUCUUGGCUCGCUUAGCUUAUUCUCGAGCAUCAUGGGAUUCUUUUUCAUUUGUCUUUAUAGCUUCAUCGGCUAUCUCACGGCCACCUUUCAUCCAAACAUUGGAAUAAAACUUCUCGCCCAUCAAAGUAGCUUCGGCCGAAGGCUCCUUCAUGUCGUCUAUGGAGAAGACGGCUUCCGCCUGGGCUGCAGUUUUAACAUGUUCACAGCCAGUUUUCUCCAAAACUGCUGCAACCCCUCGGGCACCGGCGAAGGCACAAAAAUCCUCGCGUUCGCUAAGUAUUUCCUCAAAAGCUUCAACUUCUUCGCAAAUCCAUUGAACGACUCCUUUUGGAUCGCCUCGAAUAAAUUUUUGCUCCGAUGAGUAUGCACCCACCUUUGCAAAACUGUCUUUCAGUUUCUUUGCAUAGUCCAUGGAUACUUCGUAGCAUUUCUCUCUGGAACCCCGAAGUUCUUCAACAUUCUUCUCAAGCCUGGAGCUUGUCCAUUCACUUAUAUCUUACUUUGCCUUAGCAAGUUCAAUAUUUUCGCUCAUUUCGGCAAGUUUUUUGUGAAGGUCUUCGACUUCGGCUUGGUGAGCUUCGGAUUGUGCAUUAAGUUUUGCUUCGUUGCUCUUCAGUUUAUCCACCAAGGAAAGCAGUAUUUUAUCUUUUUCAAGCGCCUCGUUCCUUAAUGUAAUAACUUAUGACCGAAGGUUCCCAAGGGCUAUUUGGCAGCUUUCAUCUUCUGCAUUCUUUUGUGCCCUUAAAGCCUUGCUUAGGAUUAAUGCCUACAAAAAAUGAAGGAUCAGCACACAACAAUAAGAAAAGAUACAAAAAGUAAUCUGCUUAUAAGCUAAAAUGUCCUCACCAUCAGACUGUUAUAAGCAAGGAUGUCUGCAAGGUCAUCUUUCGACAUUGCAGACAACCCAAGCUCUAGCUUCGGGAAACCUAUAUUUUUUGCCAUCUCCCGACAAACAAAUAUUUUCUUGUUGUCUGGAAGGCAAUACAAAAAAUCAUCUUCGUCAGUGCCAUUAAACAUGAGGGAUCCUGGGGGAUACUUCAGAUCCUUAGCAAAUUGCCUAGCUUCGGCAACCUGCUCCUCUGAUAGUUUUUCCCUACCGCGUGACACACUAUAAAUUCCGAUCCCUCAGUAGAAGCUUCAACGGCAAGGAAUUCAGAUUCUUUGCUGGUUCUCUCUUUUCCUAACGGUAACGGAGCUUUUUCAGCAUCCAAAGGUCCUUUUUCAGCAUCCUUUUCAAUAAGCUCUGCAGGCCCUAUUUCUGCGGGAACUGAGGGCCCAGCUUCAGCUUCAACCCAAGUUAUGAUAGCUUCGGCAGUUUCCUUUGUACUUUUCUUACCCAUGCUAGGUACUUCUGUAGAGGCAGGAGUUAGUACUUUUGUCGAUUCCAUGACAGCAUCCAGUACACUAGCCAUUCUCCUCCUUUUUGGAGUUAUCAAAGUAGUUUUUUGAAUCUUCGGCAAUUCUGCCUCUGGCCGUGAAAAAGUUUUUGGCUGCUCCGCUGCUAUCUUCAGAAUUGGCUCUUCGGCUGAUCCCAAUAUGGCUUCGGCAGUAGCGAGAUGAUUUUGCUCAGCUGCAGAAGAAGACCCUUCAACAGGCUUUGACACUUUGGCCGUCUCAGAGUGCCUGGGCCGGUGUGUCAAGACUUUGCCAUUUUUCCCUUCGGCGUGGCAGAGAUUGCCGAAGCAGUAGCCUUCCUUUUCUUUCCCUGCUUUCGCGAGGGAUAACAAUAGUCUGGGUACACAAAACCAAUUACAUCAAAAACCCUAUUUAAUCUCUUCUUGCCUCGUCCUCCGAAGGCCAAUGUCAUGGCAUCGUCUUCGGCCCUUGUGUAGGCCCCAAGCAAUUCGUCACUAGUAGCCUCAAUGCAAUCCAACCAGUCAUCGUUCGGCUCAUCGAACUGAUCUCUGUAUCUGAAGGUGUAUUUCAGAUAAACUAAACUAACUUGACUGGACCCGGCCGCAGCUUCCUUCGACAUCUCCCAGCCACUUCCAAGAGGCCACACUCUGUAAGCAAUAUGCUCCUAGACUAAGUCCCUAGUGCCAAUAUAAGUACAUAAAGUGUUAAAGUCCGUAUGGCAUGCUUGAAUAUCAUGUCCAUGGACAGUGGUUGGCCUCCUAAUGCCGAAGCGAGACCAGAUAGGGCAUUGAAUGAUCCCCUUUAUAUCUUCUCUUUCAACUAAGUUGUUCUUCACAUAAAACCACUCUUGCAUCCAGGCUCCUGGCCACCUCUUCCAAAAUGUUGGGACGGGAUAGCUCACACCAGAGCGAGGCAUGAAGCCGUAACAACGAAAAUUAUUAUGAUAUUGUUCUAUGCCAGUAGCCUUUGUCUCAUAGGACAGGUCAUGCAUGUUGCAGAAGCAUUUUGCAUUCGGCUCUAAACCCUGGCCCAAAUGAAAACUCCCAUUCUGAUGAUAUCUUCGGGGGUAAUUUGAUGAAGGUAAAUUUCAAAAGUCUUCAAAACUUCAACUAAAAAUUUGUUCAGGGAGAAUCGAAGCCCUGCUUUCAUAGAACUCCUGUAGACAACAACUUCGUCUGCUUCGGGCAUAGGGGCACUGCUAUCUCCUCUGGCCCUCAUGAUAGAAAUAUCGCGGAAGUAUCUUCCUUUCAUUGCAUCAAUCUGACUCUGUUUGAUGGUUGAUUUAGCAAAGAUGGUAUGACUCGGUCGCCAGGGCUGAUCUUCGACAUCUUCGUUUCCACUUUCUAAGUCAAAACUUUCACUAUCGCUGGAAUCUUCAGACAACCCAACCAACAUCUCAUUGGUGAUCUUCUUCAUAUUUGUCUUCUCCAUAGCUUCAUAAAACCCGGCCAAUGCAGGGUCAGCAAUCUUCUUCUCUUUAGCCAUUUAGACAACGAUUGCACGAUUGUCGAAGCUUAAAACUCAAUCAAAACUCGACAGAGCAAGAGAAUUCAGAAUGUCUAAAAUAGCGCAAGCAACUGAAAUAGCACAGCAAAUGCUGCCAAUGCGAGUUUCUAUUUAUAUGCCUCACGAUUUGGUGGGCCAUACAUGUCAGUGGCUUUCGCUAUUCUAGCGAAGGGAAGGUGUUUUUUCGGAUCUUCGGUUAAAGGCCUUCGUUCACGUCACAGUCUAAAUUUGUUACAAAGAAACAAAUUAAUACUACGAGGGGCUACUGUUGGGGGCCUUCCUUUUCCGAAGGUCCUCAAAAACGUGGCUAACCAUAUGUUUUCAGUAUGACAUAGACUAUUAUAGGAAGCUUCGGCUUUGGGAUGAAGGCGUGUGAUAUGAGGAUACAACCCGAAUGCAACAUGGAUGGACGUCGAAGCUAUGGCUAAAGGAGCUUCAGCUUGGCAUGUUAGCGAAGAUGAAGGACGAAACCGACCUAAGGGAGAAAAGACUACUUAGUCCUUGAUAGUUUGCAUUAUGAUUAAGAGUAGAUGUCAGGGGCAUGAAUGUAAUCUUAUCCGGGCUAUGUCCCGUGCCUAUAAAUAGAUGAGAAGUAACACCGUACUGUUCACGCUGGAUUGUAAUCGCUCCUACAUCACUCUCGCAUCUUCACCUUUUGGCAAGCCGAAGGUAUCAAUGUAAUACAAAUAUUGAUUAUGUUUAUUCAUGCUUAUGAAAUGAGAAUAUAAAUAGCUUGCUGAUUCAUAACCAUUAUUUAUAUUCUUUUGUAUUUCAUGUACCCUUAUUUAUAUGUGUUCACUGAGAUGAUGAAGGUAUGCCCUUCAUGACCUUCGUCCGGAAACCAUUAUAUCCAAAAGGAGAUAAUGCUUCGAAGGACGAAGGUCUCUAAUUAUUGACAAUCGUGUUGUCUUGUUCUUGAUGUAUAGCAUUUGGGAAUAAGGACCAAUAGCUUGCUUCUUUGCCGAGUGCCAAGGCCACAGCACUCGGCAAAGAGUCUUUACCGGUGCGCAGGUGUGCCUUCUUUGCCGAGUGCUAUGACAUUGACACUCGGCAAAGUAUCUCUUUGUCGAGUGUAACACUCGACAAAGUGACCAGAUUAUCCCUUUUUAUUUGUUUUUGCUAUUCCAUCCAAACAAAUAAAAGAUAUAUCGCAUAAUCAUCACAUAUACAUCAUAGAUAUCACAUAAUCAUCGCAUACAUAAUAGAGACUGCAUAUUUCACAAAAAACACAAAUCUCACAAGUUUUUCUCAAACAUGUCCAUGUUCAUACCAAGAUUCACUAACAUAAGUAUCACACAACUCUAAAACAUAAGUUUUUCACAAACAUAAGUUUAGGACAAGUUUAUCACACAAGCUAAGAGAAGAUCAUGAGCGAGGUGGGCGGCUGGACUGGUGCGGCGACGGGCUGGGCGAUCCACGAGGGUUGUUGGAUGCCGCCCUAGAUUGUCCCUGCACAGAGAAGAGAUUGCCUGUGUUAUACUAGAUAAAUAUACAUCAUGCAGGACUAGAAUUUUGAUACUCAUAGGAGUAUGGAACUGAGCAGGGUCAACUGGAGGGAACAACGGAGGUGGUGGAGCAAAACCCUGUGCGGUGCCAAGGCUCUGCAUGUACUGGAACAUCUCUGCCAUCCUCUGUUGAUUUUCCAUGUGGGCCUCCCGCUCCGCCAUCAUCCUCGCCUCCAUAUCCUACCGUUCCCUCCUCUCUUCUUCUAGCUAGGCAUAUAAUAUUUCAACCCAGUGUUAUAAUAACUCAAAGAGAAGGUAUAUAACUCAAGGAAAGACGAGUUACAGAAGCACUAACCUGGAGUUGUUGUAUCUCAUGAUGUGAGUUGUCCUGUCGAGGUCGUAUGGCUGGGCUUGAGCUCGUGGUCCUUGCUCGCACCUGAGACAGAGUGGGAGUGGACAACGAGUCGAUUGUCCCGUCGGCAAUCCAGUACCUCCCAUGCCUCUUGCCUCCUCUGACCCUCAUGAGAACAUCUCCGUCGAUUUCCUUGGUCCUCGGAUCGUAAUCUGGCCCAUGGACCUCAUGUGACAUGGCAGUGUACUCACUUAGGCGGUUGUAGACGGCGGAGUUGCUAUAUGCCUCGGGCCCGUCAUCCGGGUUGUAGGUGACAUCGGACGUCGCCUUUCCCUUGUGGGCCAUAGCAUAAACCGAGAAGAUGGAGCAUGGCUGGCCACCAUGUAACACCAAAUGCAAUAAAAUCAAUGAGAUAGUUAGAAAUAAUAUCUAAACCAGUGCUAUAUACCUAAAUAAAAAGAGGGCGUACCCAUGCUUCUACAUAUUUCCAGAGGUUGCGACUGCCUUGGUGGUGGGAGGGACCUUACAUCAUCAAAUGUCGUUCCAUGCUAGCGUUGUGCGCCUCGUCCCACUUAGGCGAGCACCACCUAUCCACCAUCUGCUCCUAGCACUGAGGAUGCGCGGCGCACCAAUAAGGAAUCAUCUACAAACUAAAACAAGUACAUUGCAUAUCAGAAGAUAAAAUUAAGCAAUUUUUUUCACGAAUAUUAAAGUGAUGUAUUUACCUGCAAGUAUUGGUCCCUAGUCAACGACAUGGUUCGGGCCUCUUGUUUGGUCACCUUCUCUCUAAGGACGGAGCCAUGGUAGAUGAUGAUGACCUAGAUUCGUGCAUCGUAGUGCAUGUCCACGACGAGCUUCUUACAGCUUGUGGUGGCCACCACAUUUGCCCUGGCCUCGUAUCCAGCCUCGCAUCUGAAGAAAUCCUACAUACAAAGGCGAUAUAUCCAUACAUUAUUUCAAGUAUGUGCAACAAAUGCGACAUAUUUUACAAUAUAGUAAGACUUACUCAUAGCUUUUGCUUCACCCGCUCUGCCAUGUUGUUAAAUUCCCUAUCGUCCUAGUCUACUGCAUCAGGGGUGACGACGUAGUGGUCGAAGGUGUAGGCAGUAGGUUGGGCCCACCACUCCAGCGUACUCAACCAGUCCAGGGAAGUGUUCCCUACACAUAAGGCCAAGGAUGCCAUUGGGUUGUGGUCGUGACUCCCUGCAUUCUCCACAACCUUUCAAGACCUGUCCAAGUGAUAAAUAAAAAGUAUUAGUUUAUAUUAUGAAUUUGAACACAUAAUAUGAACAAACAGUGAGAACAUAAAAUUACAUGUCUCUCCCCAUCCUUCUGAAUCAGCGACCGCCUAUCUCGAAGUAUGGGACGCUGAGGGAGACUCGUGGGACCUCGCUGGUAGACGUUCCUCGAAUCUGAAGCACCAGAACCUGAGGCGUCUUGCUGAGCGUCGUCGUCGUCCUACUGUGUCGCAUCGAUAACGACCUGCUGCUGGACGUCGUCAUCCUGUUGUGCCUUCUUCGCCUUCCUACGGGUGCUCCUCCUCCCCCUCCUUGUCCUCAUCCCACCGCCCACCAUAUUUGUCCAACAACCUGUAAUUAAGGGUAAGCAAAUAAGCACAUAUAAAAAAGUUUAUUUACAAAUAGGCGUGAAAUAAAAAAAAUAGCAUUACAUCGUUUAAAAAAAUCUUCAUAUGUGUCGGGGUUAGCCAGAUCAUAAGUGUCAUCAUCACAAUCAACCAUUUCAUAGUCAACACCAUCUGAAGGCGCAAGUUCUUCAUUAAUGUCAUUGCCUUCAAGUAAUUCUAAGUCAUUCUCAUUUUGCACCUCAUCAACAACCAUUUCAAUAUCUACUUCCAUUCCGAUAGCUUCGGUUAAGUCUAUCUCAAAUCACCCUUCUAGCCCAUAUUCUUGGAAGAACUCUCCAUCAUAUGUAUCCGGGUCUAAGUUAUAAUCUUCAUCAUUUGGAACAGGUAAUUUACCGUGCAGUGAUACCUUAUACACAACAUCCCAACCCAUCCAUGCCUCAUAUAGGAGAUGAAGAAUCAAAUGCUGCAUUGGAUUGAAGAAGUCGAGUGGAAAUAUCUUCUCAAGCUUACACAAAAACACGGGUGUCAAUCUUUCCAAGUCUGCAAUCACGGACCAAGAUAACUCUUUCACACAAAGCUGGCAGAAUAAAUAGCUGAACUUUGUAAGCGCUAGCCAUACAUGCUCAGGGACAUAGCCUCGAACCAUCGUCGGAAGAAUCUGUUCAAUCCAUAAGUGGAAGUCAUGACUCUUCAUCCCUAAGACUCACAGAGUAGAUAAGUUCACCCCCCUACUUAGGUUAGCUGCAUACCCAUCAGGAAACAUCAACAUCUUGAUCCACUAAAGUACUUCCUUCCUCUGGGCCCUACUUAGGACGAAAUCGGCCUUAGACCUUCUCCAUGUCUUUCCACCACUAGGCGGCUUCAUUUCUUGGUUUGGUCUAUCACAUAACGCUGUCAGAUCCACUCUUGUCUUUACAUUAUCCUUUGACUUAUCAGGAAUGUCCAUAAUUGUUGCCCAAAGUGCCUCGGCGACAUUCUUUUCAGUGUACAUCAAGUCAAUGUUGUGUGGAAGGAGUGGGUCAUCAUAAUAGGGGAGCCGAGUCAAGCCCGACUUAUGUGUCCACAUAUGCUGCUCACCAUAUCCCACAAAUACACCUUCUGGAUUGGCCACGAGCCCAUCUAUUUGUUGACGAAUUUCGGCACCAGUCAUCAUUGCAGGUGGUUGGUCUGUCACUACAACACCUUUCGUAAAGUUAUUGAUGUCUAGGCGGAAUGGAUGGUUAGGAGGGAGAAAUUGUUGAUGUUUAUCGAACAACGAAUAUUUGCCACCCUUUUUCAACCAAAUGAACUUAAGAGCUUCCUUACAAACUAGGCAUGGGAACUUACUGUGAACACAAUAGACACAGAAUAGCCCAUACGCCGGUAAGUCAUGCAUGGCGUACUAGUACCAAACAUGCAUUUUGAAGUUUUUCUUCGUAGCUCGGUUAUACGUCCAUACCCCUUCCUCCCAAGCAUGUACGAUUCAUCAAUCAAAGGCUCCAUGUACACGCCCAUUUUAUUCCCCGGGUGUCCGAGAAUUAUCAACGACACAAAUAUGUUCUGCCUUUAAAAGCAUACACCGGGGGGAGAUUGAUUGGGAUAACAAACACGGGCCAACAUGUGUAUGGGGCAGCGCUCAUUCCAUAGGGAUUGAACCCAUCUGUGGCCAGCGCAACACGUACAUUAUGAGCCUCUUCAGCUUUCUCGCGGUAAAUGGCAUCAAAGUGUUUCCAUGCUUCACCAUCGGAUGUGUGCACCAUCUUAUCAUGAUUGUAUCGUUUGCCAUUUUUGUGCCAUGUCAUCUGUUUCGCGGAUUCCUCAGUCAUGUAUAGACGCUGGAUCCUCGGUGUGAACGGAAGGUGGUGUAGGAUUGUCACGGGGAUGUCGAGCUGCCUAUCAUGUCCAUCACCAAAGUCUACCUCCAUGAACCUAGACGAUUUACACUUCGGACAGUACUUUGCUUCCGUGUAUUCUUUCCUAAAUAGCACGCAGUCCUUCGGACAAGCAUGUAUCUGCUCAUAUGUCAUCUUGAGUGCACGGAGGAGUUUCUGUGUGUUGGGGACCUUCGGCAUCCGAAGGUCCUCAAAAACGGGAUUUAACAGUAUUUCUGGAAGUAUAAUGUGUGAGCAGGUACCUUCAGACUCAAGUCGGUAUCACGGCAGGAGAAGACCCGGAUAAUACGAAGGUCUUGAUACAACGCCGAAGAUGUUAGCAGGAAAGCUUCGGCAUGGUUGCAGAAAAUGAAACCGACUUAAAGAUGAAAAGGCUAUUCAGACCUCGAUAGAUUACUAUAGAAUUAUUAUCAAAUGUAAAGGGCAUGAAUGUAAUUUUGUAUGGGCUGUGUCCCGUGCCUAUAAAUAGGUGAACAGAACCCCCGUACUGUUCACGCUGACUUGGCAUUCGCUUUUUGCGUCACGCUUGUACUGUCAUCUCCUUCCGAUUGAAGGUACACUUGUAAUUCAACGAUAUUUCUGUUUAUGUCUGAUAAUAAUAUAUAAUUGUUCAUAUUGUCUUUUAUGUUCUUUACAUUUCAUUCUUCGUCAUUGCUUAAUGAAUUUAUGAAGGUACGUCCUUCAUAACCUUCGUCCGUAAACCAUUAUAUCCUAAGGGAAAUAAUGUUUCGGAGGGCGAAGGACUUUAACGAUUAACAUUUUCUAUGUUGCCUUGUUCUUAACUCAUAGCACUUGAGAACAAGUCCCCAACAUUGGCGCCCACCUCCGGUGAACUCACUUCCACUCUUUGAAGUUUUUUGAACACCUUCGGCGAUCAUAAAUCUUCGUUAUGGCGCCGAAGAAAGCUUCAGCGACUGGGGCUGCAGCUCUGCAACCACUGGACCACAAUCAGGAGACAGUUUCCCUGCGGGAGGCCCGAAGCCAGAAAAGGAAGGCUGUCAGUCCGACACCACCAGAGGACGAGAUAGAUCAAGAAAUCAGAGAUAUGGAGAUGCUUCAUCAACAAGUACAGAGGAAGAAAGAAAAGAUGGCCAGGCUAGCUGAACUGCAGAGGCAGAUAGACGAAGCCUCUGAAGAAGUUCGUCAUCUUGCUCAGGAUGAGCAACACCGAAGGCCUCAGCACCAAGACCUUCAUCAGGAGGGUUUUCCCAACGAAGAUGACUGGUAUGACAAUUUCCAUCAUGGGAAUUUUGUUUUUGAUGAUGCUUCUCCUCUGUCCGCUGAGCUGCAGGCUACACCUUGGCCUCCGUCCUACAAGCCGCCUCAGCUUCCCGUAUUCGAUGGUCACUCAGACCCGAAGCAGUUUUUGAUGAGCUACGAAGCAACAGUAUCUUCGUAUGGUGGCAAUGCUUCAGUCAUGGCCAAAUCUUUCGUUAUGGCUGUCAGAAGUGUUGCUCAAACCUGGUAUUCCUCCCUUCGACCAGGAACGAUCACUUCAUGGCAGAAGCUGAAGGACUUGUUGUUAACUAGCUUUCAAGGAUUUCAGACGAAGCCGGUCACUGCUCAGGCUCUGUUCCAGUGCACCCAGGAUCACGAAGAAUACCUUCAGGCGUAUGUCCGAAGGUUCUUGCGUUUGAGGGCACAGGCACCAACGGUGCCCAAUGAAAUUGUCAUCGAGGCCAUGAUCAAGGGGCUUCGGCCAGGACCGUCAGCUCAGUACUUCGCCAGGAAGCCUCCUCAAACUUUGGAGAAGCUGCUCCAGAAGAUGGACGAGUACAUUCGGGCCGAUAAUGAUUUUCGCCAAAGAAGGGAGGAGGCUUUCAGGUUUUCUGAAAUGACCAGGGGCUUCGGAGGGAGGUUCUACCCGAGGCACGUGAGAUCAAUUCAUAACUCUACACAAAAAUGAUGAUAGAGGAAGCCAACAGCAAAGGCCACAAUGCUCCUCACAGGCUUCGGGGCAACAGCAAAGCUCCUUCCGACCACCAGCUCCAAGAGGCAGAGGCGCCAGGGGCUUUGGAGGAAGAUUUGGAGAUCAACCGAGAAGAAUCUUUUGCUUAUUCUGCGGUGAGAACAAAGGCCAUACUACCAGGAUGUGCCAUGUUACUAUUCAGAAGCAAAAGGAAAUAGCUGAAGCCGCAGCACAACAAGCUCAGCCGAAGCAGGUCAUGCAUACAACUUCGUAUCAUUCGCCCUACAUCCCAGAAUAUGUGGGCAACCAUCCUGCAGUUUCUGUUGCUUCGGCAAGUCAGCCUCAAGCUUCCUGGCAACAGCCUCCGCCUCCACCUCCGUUGCAACAAGGCCAGCAACCAGAAGGGAGCCAGUAUGCUCCACACCAGAGGGACUUCAGAGAGCAGUCCGAAGCUCGUACAGUCAAUAGCACUGUGCCAGAGUCAAAGCACAUCUAUUGACGAAUAUCCUACCUUAAUAGCAAUCUUUUUCAUUCAGUUUUAUUUUCUGUAAUAAAGGACAUUGUUUAGGUUUCAUGUAAUUAGUUUCGUUGAUUCCUACAAGAAAAAUAUGUUUUCCUCACAGGCUUAAAUUGAUUGAAGUUCAAAGACUUGUGAUAAAAAAAAGGACCUUCGAACUAUCGAAAAUUCUUCGAAGCAACAAAAAGUCGUUCUAAGGAACGCAGAGUAAGUUUGCCGAAGUCACAAAAAGUCGUUCCAAAGGGAGCGCAGUGUAAGUUUUCUGCUCCAAAGUCGUUCCAAAGGGAAUGCAGAGCAUACAGCGAAAAGUCAACGCUGAUACCGCCUAAGUAAAAGGCGAAGCGCGAAAAGUCAACGCGAAUACCGCUGAAAGUAAAAGGCGAAGAAGCUCCUAAGGGAGGCUUACAGCGAAAAAUAAACGCUGAUUCCGCUGAAGUAAAAGGCGAAGAAGCUCCUAAGGGAGGCUUAUAAAAGAUGUGUUUUAUUGCAGGGAUGCGUAUGUAUCUUCGGAAUAAACGUCAUCUCACAUAACAUAACAUCAUCGCAUCAUUUCGCAUAGCAUAAGCAUCAUACAUCAUUUUGCACAUGGCACAAGAGGUGGACACAUUAUUAAUCUACAGAAGAACGCUUUGAAAAAAGGGAGAAAUCAAAGUCACAAAAAGAUACAUCAUUGAUCUUCGGAAGUGUAUCUUCGGAAGUGUAGCUUCGGAAAAUAUCUUCACGAAGCCUGGAUAUUAAUCAUCAGAACAUUGGAUAUUGUUGUGACAAAGAAAAAUUCUUCUUCACGAAGCAUGAAAAGAAGGGAAGGUGUUUUUUCGUCAAAGACUCAAAAGUGGUACGUGUAAAGUUUCAUGCAUCGUAAAGAAUUGACUAACAAAAAUAGGUAUAUUACAUUUGGGGUUACAAAAUGUUACAGUAUAUUACAUUUCAGAAAGUUUUCACAAAAAUACUUAAUCUUCUCUCAAAACGACUUCUGCAGCCUCGUUCAGGAGCCGAUUGACGACUUCGUCCAUAAUAUCUUCAGCCAUCUUUUUAAUUUCGUCGUCUCCUUUCGGCUGAGGGCCCGAAGACGCUUUAGCACGAUCUGAAGUAAGACAGCAUGCGGCUACAUUGCUAUUACAAAUCGCAAACAAAUCUUAAAGCCUAAGAUUACAACACGAUAAAAACUAUUAGUUAAUACCUAAUUGACCUUCGGCCUCUGCGCUCUUUUCAGCAGCCUCAGCCACUUCUCUAGCAUCGUGAAUGCCCUUUUCACUUCUUCGAAUAAUUUCUCCGGCCAUUUCUCAGCCACCAUUAUCCCAGAUAUCGGUAAAACAUUUUCCACCAAUUAUACUAGCUUCGGCCGAAGGAUCUCUUGCAUCUUCAAAGGGCAAAGCAGCUUCGGAUUGUGCUAAAAUUUUUACAUGUUCGCAGCCCUUCUUCUCUAAGAUGGUGGCAAUCCCUCUGGCACCAGAGAAGGCACAUAUAUCUCCUCGGCUAUUUAAAAUUUCUUCGAAGGCUUCAGCUUCGUGGUCGAUCCAUUCGAUGACACCUUCGGGAUUGCUUCUCGAAAAGUUUUCCUCACUUGAGAAUGCGCCGACCUUGGCGAAGCUAGCCUUUAGCUUCUUAACACAAUCUAUAGAUUUAUUAUAGCAUCUCUUUUUGGACGAACGAAGCUCUUCAACAGUCACUUCUAGGUGAUCUGCCCAUUGAUCGCUGAGUUCACGCUUUGUUUCUUCAAGUAUGCGUUCUUCCUUGGCUCUGGCCAGUUGUUUCCGAAGAUCUUCAAUUUCGCGCUUCUGAGCUUCAGCUUGACCUUUAAAAGCAGCUUCGUCUUCCUUUAUUUUAUUUAUCAAUGAGUAUAAUAUUUUAUCUUUUUCGAGACCUUCGUUCCUCAGUUCAAUUACUUCGGAACGAAGGUUGCUCAGGGCUAUAGUACACCCUUCGUCUUCAGCAUCUUUCUGUGCCCUGAGGGCAUUGCUAAGUAUCAGGCCCUGCAAAGAGAAAUAUGUGUGCGUCAAUAGGUUUAAACAAACGAAAAAUACAAGGAUUUCAUUUCUCGCACCUUUAAGCUAUUGUAAGCCAGGCUGUCGGCCAGAUCGUUCUUCGACAGCACCGAGAGCCCGUCUUCUAAAGUUGGGAAUCCGAAGCUCUUGCUCAUCUCCCGACAGACAGAAAUUUCCUUGCUAUCGGGGAGACAAUACAAGAAGUCUUCUUCUCCACUGCCAUUGAAUAUUAACGCCCCCUUUGGAUAUUUCAGUUUUUGGGCGUAGUGCUGGGCCUCUUGCUCUUCUUUUUCUGAUAGUUUUUUCCCCGAAGCAUGGCGAACAAUAUAAUCACGAACUUUGGGGGAUGCUUCGGGGGCAAUGGCACCGGUUUCUUCAACAAAAGUUGGCUUUGUUAUUUUUUCUGCCUCACUUUCCAAGGAUUUUAUCUUUGCAGGCUCUGAGGGCCCAGCUUCGGCUUUAGUCUCUUGCCCUGAAGCUUUAGAUCCAGAAAUUUCAGUUGUUUCAGGAAUGACAGCAGCCCUCUUCGGAGGUGUGCUUGAAGAUUUGAUCGUUUCCAGUACAUCUAGCACAUUAGCCAUUCUCUUUCUUUUCGGAGUCACUGCUGGCACUUUCACUAUCUCAAUGUUUGCUGCAGGACUCAAAACUUCUGAUGUUUUGGAUCCCUCAGUUGAUUCUUUUACCUUUUCCAUUUUUUCUGUGGACGGCGCUUCGGCUUUCUCUUUCGUUUCUGAUAACAAAAUUUUUGAUUGUUCCAAUUCUAUCUUUGUUGGCACUUCGGCCGUUUCUGCGACUUCUGGCAGCAAGGUUGGCUCGGUUGGUUUUUCAGCUUCGGUGGCCGAAGAAGUUUCUCCGGUAAACUCAGGCACCGAAGCUGGUUCAAUAUAGCGCGGCCGAUGCGUAAGGACCUUUAUCUUCUUUCUUUUCGGUUCUGGCUCGCUAGGAGCAGUUGCAGCUUCUUCUUUUGCAGAGGUUGUGUUUUUUCUCUUCUGCCUUCGAAUGGGAUAGCAAUAGUCAGGGUAGACAAACCCGAUUGCAUCAAAUACCCGAUUCAGCCUCUUCUUUUUUCGGCCUCCGAAGGCUGCUGACAUUGCAGUAUCUUCGGCCUUCGAAUAGGUCCCAAGCAGCUCAUCACUUAAAUUUUCAAUGCUUUUUAACCAGUCAUCAUCUGGUUCAACGAAUUUAUCUCCAAACUUAAAAGUGUACUUCAACCUGAUAAGUCCACCUUCGUCGGCCUCUUUUAUGGUUUCUUGUGGCAUUUCCCAUUUCUCCGCAAGUGGCCAUACCCUGAAGGCGAUAUGCUCUUGUACUAAGUCCCUCGUUCCAAUAAAAGAACAGAUAACACCGAAGGCCCUCUGGCAUUCUUCGGCAGCCUCACUCAUUUCAACCUUCGGCCUCCGAAGGCCGAAGCUUUGCCAAAUAGGGCGCAUAAUUAUACCUUUGAUAUCUUCUCGCGCUGUCAGAUCAUUCUUCACAUAAAACCAUUCUGUCAUCCAGUCGCCGGGCCAUCUCUUCCGAAAGGUCGGCACGGGACAGCUUGACCCGGACCGAGAAACGAAAUUGUAGCAGCCAAAAUUAUUGUGAUACUGUUCCUUACCCCAAGGUUUUGUUUCGUAUGAUAAUUCGUGUAUAUUGCAGAAACUUUUUGCAUCAGGCUUCAGACCUUGGCUUCUCACGGCCCACACGAAGAUAUUUAGCCUUAUAAUUGCCUCAGGGGUAAGUUGAUGGAGAUAGACUUCGAAUAUUUUCAGUACCUCCACAACGAAGCUGCUCAAGGGAAAUCGCAGUCCAGCUUUCAAAAAGCUUCGGUACACUACGACUUCAUUCUCUUCAGGGUGUGGGCAAGUUUUUUCCCCUUCGUCGGCCCUCACAAUGGACAAAUCCCGGAAAUACCUUCCUCUCAUGUUGACAAGAUGAUUCUCUUUGAUAGUUGAUUUACCAUAAACUGAAUGGCUUGGUCGCCAGGGACGAUCUUCGGAGUCCUCACCACCACUGUCCACAUCAUAGCUGUCACUGUCACCAGUAUCUUCAGACAAACCUUCCAGAAUCUCCUUGGUAAUUUUUUCUGUAUUGGUCUUUGACAUCGCUAUAAGAAACCCCAAGUUUUUCUCUUCGUCAAGGCUCAGCUUCAUCUCAGCAACAGUCUUCUUAUCUUCAGACAUCUUCGGAGACGCUAAAAAACUAUUUUCAAAGCCGAAGCUUCAAAACUAAAAGCUUAGCAAAUCGCAGUGCACAAGAGCUAAAAAUUGAGUGAGCGGGAGUAGUUGGCCAGAAAGCGUGUCAAAUGAGUUUGCGGUAUGGCCGUAUUUAUACGCCAAGAGCGUUGAAAAUUCAAAGACCCCGCUUGUCAGUGAAUGUUGCUAUUCUAGCAAAGGGAAGGUGUUUUUUCGGACCUUCGGCGUAAAGCCUUCGUCCAUGUCGCAAUCUAAAUUCGUUAUUUUAAAACAAAUUAAUAUUGCGAGGGGCUACUGUUGGGGACCUUCGGCAUCCGAAGGUCCUCAAAAACGGGAUUUAACAGUAUUUCUGGAAGUAUAAUGUGUGAGCAGGUACCUUCGGACUCAAGUCGGUAUCACGGCAGGAGAAGACCCGGAUAAUACGAAGGUCUUGAUACAACGCCGAAGAUGUUAGCAGGAAAGCUUCGGCAUGGUUGCAGAAAAUAAAACCGACUUAAAGAUGAAAAGGCUAUUCAGACCUCGAUAGAUUAUAUAGAAUUAUUAUCAAAUGUAAAGGGCAUGAAUGUAAUUUUGUAUGGGCUGUGUCCCGUGCCUAUAAAUAGGUGAACAGAACCCCCGUACUGUUCACGCUGACUUGGCAUUCGCUUUUUGCGUCACGCUUGUACUGUCAUCUCCUUCCGAUUGAAGGUACACUUGUAAUUCAACGAUAUUUCUAUUUAUGUCUGAUAAUAAUAUAUAAUUGUUCAUAUUGUCUUUUAUAUUCUUUACAUUUCAUUCUUCGUCAUUGCUUAAUGAAUUUAUGAAGGUACGUCCUUCAUAACCUUCGUCCGUAAACCAUUAUAUCCUAAGGGAAAUAAUGUUUCGGAGGGCGAAGGACUUUAACGAUUAACAUUUUCUAUGUUGCCUUGUUCUUAACUCAUAGCACUUGAGAACAAGUCCCCAACACUGUGCCUCAUACAUGCUCUUUGGUAGAACGUGAUCCUCCGGAAGCAGGCUACCAAUAACUGUCAACAAGCAAUCGAAUGCGUCUUGACUCAUGUUAUACUGCGACUUGAACGCUAUUACAUGCCCAAUGGCAUCCAGUUGAGAAACCUUUGUCUGGCUGUGAAGGGGCUUCUGUGCCACGUCAAACAUGUCGUAGAACGCCUUUGCAAUCGGCUCUAGCUCGUCCUCCAUACAUCCUCCGACGAACUAUGCCUCAUGAUAGUCGUUCAACAUAUCUGCUACCCCCGCAUCAGCAUCAUAAUCCUCGACGUGUUGUCUCUGAAAGGGAAAUAAGCUUACACCUUUUCCUAAAUGAUUUUGGUGGUUGAAUUGCCCAACACAAAUAAUUGGACUAACUAGUUUGCUCUAGGUUAUAAGUUCUAUAGGUGCCAAAGGUUCAACACAUACCAAUAAAAAGUCCAAGAAAGGGUUCAAAUAAAAAGAGCAAAAGACAACCGAAGGCUGCCCUGGUCUGGCGCACUGGACUGUCCGAUGUGCCACCGGACAGUGUCCGGUGCACCAGAGAGAUUCACUCCAAACUUGCCACCUUCGGGAAUUUGGGAAGCCACUCCGCUAUAAUUCACCGGACUGUCCGGUGUGCCAAGCGGAGCAACGGUCGCCAACGCAAUGGUCGAGUUCAACGGUCGGCUGACAACGCUACAGUGCGCGGACUACGCGCGUAGAAGUCAGAGAAGGCGCAGAUGGCGCACCGGACAGUGAAGAGGACCUGUCUGGUGCACCAUCGGACUGUCCGGUGGCCCACAUGUCAGAAACUCCAACGGUCGAACCCUAACGGUUGGGUGACGUGGCUGGCGCACCGGACAGUGUCCGGUGGCGCACCGGACUGUCCGGUGCGCCCAUCGACAGCAGAGUUCCCCAACGACCACUUUGGUGGUUGGGGCUAUAAAUACCCCCCAACCACCACACUUCGAUGCAUCCAAGUUUUCAGCCAUCAAACCUCAUACAAGAGCUCUAGACUUCAUUCCAAGACACAAACAAAGAGAUCAAAUCCUCUCCCAAGUCUGGAAUCACUCCAAACAAAUUAGUGACUAGAGAGAGAGAGACUUUUGUGUUCUUUUAAGCUCUUGUGCUUGGAUCGCUUUUCUUCUUCCUCCUUUCUUGUUCUCAACUCAAUUGUAAUCAAAGCAAGAGACACCAAGUUGUGGUGGUCCUUGUAGUGGACUAAGUGUCCCGUUUGAUUGAAGAGAAAAGCUCACUCGGUCUAGGUGACCGUUUGAGAGAGGGAAAGGGUUGAAAGAGACCCGAUCUUUGUGACCACCUCAACGGGGAGUAGGUUUGCAAGAACCGAACCUCGGUAAAACAAAUCACCGUGUUCAUCUGUUUUAUUUCUUUGUUGAUUUGUUUUCCCUUUCUUUCGGACUUGAUUAUAUUUCUAACGCUAACCCUUGCUUGUAGUUGUGCUUAAACUUUAUAAAUUUCAGAUUUGCCUAUUCACCCCCCUCUAGGCGACUUUCAAUUGGUAUCAGAGCCCGGUACUUCAUUAGAGCCUAACCACUCGAUGUCAUGUCGGGAGCUCACGCCAAGAAGGAGAUGGUGACCGGCGAGAAGCCCGCCACAAGCCACGGGAAGGCUCCAUCGGGAGAGUCCGGCAACAAAAGGGAGGAAUCACCUCCCCACGUCAAGUCGCACCGGAGUGGUGACCAGAAGAAGAAAAUGAAGAAAGUGUUCUACUGUGAGACCGAUUCUUCGUCGCCAUCCACCUCCACGUCCGACGCGCCGUCCGUCACUUCUAAGCGCCAUGAGCGCAAGAAGUUUAGUAAGAUCUCCUUACGCUAUCCUCGUAUUUCCAAAUGCACUCCUUUACUUUCCGUCCCACUAGGCAAACCACCGGUUUUUGACGGUGAACAUUAUUGUAUGUGGAGUGAUAAAAUGAGGCACCAUCUAACCUCACUCCACGCUAGUAUUUGGGACAUUGUUGAGUUUGGUGCGCAGGAACCAUCCGUGGGGGAUGAAGGCUAUGAUUCGGAUGAGGUAGCCCAAAUCCAGCACUUCAACUCCCAAGCCACCACUAUACUCCUCGCCUCUCUAAGUCGAGAGGAGUAUAAUAAGGUGCAAGGGUUGAAGAGCGCCAAAGAGAUUUGGGACGUACUAAAGACCACACACGAAGGAGACGAGGUGACCAAGAUCACCAAGAGCGAAACGAUCGAGGGGGAGCUCGGUCGCUUCAUGCUUCAUCAAGGGGAGGAGCCACAAGCAAUGUACAACCGGCUCUAGACCUUGGUGAACCAAGUGCGCAACCUCAGGAGCACCAAAUGGGAUGACCAUGAAAUGGUCAAGGUUAUUCUAAGAUCACUUAUAUUUCUUAAUCCUACACAAGUUCAAUUAAUUCGUGGUGAUCCUAGAUACAAGAUAAUGUCUCCCGAGGAGGUUAUAGGAAAAUUUGUGAGCUUUGAAUUGAUGAUCAAAGGCUCCAAGAAAAUCAUCGAGCAAGGCGCCUCCUCCACACCCGAAAUGCAACUCGUCGCAUUCAAGGCAACAGAGGAGAAGAAAGAAGAGUCUACUUCAAGUAGACUUCCCAUCGACGCCUCCAAGCUCGACAACGAGGAAAUGGCGCUCAUCAUCAGGAGCUUUCGCCAAAUCCUCAAGCAAAGGAGGGGGAAGGACUACAAGCCCCGCUCCAAGAAAGUUUGCUACAAGUGUGGUAAGCCCGGACAUUUCAUUGCUAAAUGUCCAUUAUCAAGUGAUAGUGACAGGGGCGAUGACAAGAAGGGGAGAAGGAAGGAGAAGAAGAAAUAUUACAAGAAGAAGGGCGGCGAUGCCCAUGUAUGCCACGAGUGGGACUCCGAUGAGAGCUCCACCGACUCCUCCUCCGACGAGAACGCCGCAAACAUCGCCAUCAACAAGGGUCUUCUCCUUCCCAACGUCGAUCACAAGUGCCUCAUGGCAAAGGACGACAAAAAGAAGAAGGUAAAAUCUAGAGCUUCCACUAAAUAUGCAACAUCUAGUGAUGAGGCUAGCUCUAGUGAUGAUGAGGAUGAUUUGAUCACCCUUUUUGCCAACUUAAACAUUCAACAAAAAGACAAAUUGAAUGAAUCGAUUAGUGUUAUUCAUGAGAAGGAUGAACUCUUGGAUAGCCAAGAGGACUUCCUUAUUAAAGAAAAUAAGAAGCAUGUUAAAGUUAAAAAUGCUUAUGCUCAGGAGAUAGAAAAAUGUGAAAAAUUAACUAGUGAUCUAAGCACUUGCCAUGACACUAUUUUCAACCUUAGAUUUGAAAAUGACAAAUUGAUUGCUAAGGUUGAGAAAUUAAAUGUUAGUGAUGAUUCUCUUGUCAACCUUAGAAAUGAUAAUGCUAAUUUGAUUGCUAAGGUUGACAAAUUGAAUGCAUCUCUCUCUAGCCUUAAAAUUGAGAAUGAAAAAUUAAUUGCUAAGGCUAAAGAUUUAAAUGUUUGCAAUGUUUCUAUUUCCAAUCUUAGAGAUGAGAACACUAUUUUACAUGCUAAGAUUGUUGAAUUAAAUACUUGCAAACCCUCAACAUCUACCGUUGAACAUGUUACUAUUUGCACUAGAUGUAGAGAUGUUAAUAUUGAUGCUAUUCAUGAUCACAUUGCUAUGAUUAAACAACAAAAUGAUCAUAUAGCAAAAUUAGAUGCUAAAAUUGCCGAGCAUGAAUUAGAGAAUGAAAAAUUUAAAUUUGCUCGUAAUAUGCUUUAUGGUGGGAGACGCCCUGGCAUUAAGGAUGGCAUUGGCUUCCAACAGGGAGGCGAUGUCAAACUCAAUGCCCCUAAGAAAUUGUCCAACUUUGUUAAGGGCAAGGCUCCCAUGGUUUAGGAUAACGAGGGUUACAUUUUAUACCCUGACGGUUAUCCCGAACAUAAAAUUAGGAGAAUUCACUCUAGGAAGUCUCACUCUGGCUCUCAUCAUGCUUUUAUGAAUAAGAGUGAGGCAUCUAGUUCUAGGAAAUCCACCCAUGCUAAAUUGCCUAAGAAGAAAACUCCUAUAGCAUCAAACGAACCUAAUUUUUCAUUUAAGACUUUUGAUGCUUCUUAUGUGCUCACUAACAAAUCAGGCAAAAUAGUUGCCAAAUAUGUUGGGGCUAAACACAAGGGAUCAAAGACUUGUGUUUGGGUACCCAAGGUGCUUGUUUCUAAUGUGAAAGGACCCAAGACCAUUUGGGUACCUAAGAACAAGGCCUAAACUUGUUUUGUAGGUUUAUGCAUGCGGGGGCUCAAGUUUGAUCAUCGAUAGCGGGUGCACAAACCACAUGACUGGGGAGAAAAUAAUGUUCUCCUCCUAUGAGAAAAAUCAUGAUCCCCAAAGAGCUAUCACAUUCGGGGAUGGAAAUCAAGGUUUGGUCAAAGGACUUGGUAAAAUUGCUAUAUCCCCUGACCAUUCUAUUUCCAAUGUUUUUCUUGUAGAUUCUUUAGAUUACAACUUGCUUUCUGUUUCUCAAUUAUGCAAAAUGGGUUACAACUGUCUUUUUACGGAUAUAGGUGUUACUGUCUUUAGAAGAAGUGAUGAUUCUGUAGCAUUUAAGGGAGUGUUAGAGGGUUAGCUAUACUUAGUUGAUUUUAAUAGAGCUGAACUCGACACUUGCUUAAUUGCUAAGACUAACAUGGGUUGGCUCUGGCAUCGCCGACUUGCCCACGUUUAAAUGAAGAAUCUCCACAAACUUCUAAAGGGAGAACACAUUUUGGGACUAACAAAUGUUCAUUUUGAGAAAGACAGGGUUUGUAGCGCAUGUCAAGCAGGGGAAGCAAGUUGGUGUUCAUCAUCCACACAAGAACAUAAUGACGACCGACAGACCGCUUGAGCUACUCCACAUGGACCUAUUCGGCCCGAUAGCUUAUAUAAGCAUCAACGGGAGUAAGUAUUGUCUUGUAAUUGUGGAUGAUUAUUCUCGCUUCACUUGGGUGUUAUUUUUGCAGGAAAAAUCUCAAACCCAAGAGACCUUAAAGGGAUUCUUGAGAUGGGCUCAAAAUGAGUUCGGCUUAAGGAUCAAAAAGAUAAGAAGCGACAACGGGACGGAGUUCAAGAACUCUCAAAUAGAAGGCUUCCUUGAGGAUGAGGGCAUCAAGCAUGAGUUCUCUUCUCCCUACACACCACAACAAAAUGGUGUAGUGGAGAGGAAGAAUAGAACUCUACUUGACAUGGCGAGGACCAUGCUUGAUGAGUACAAGACUUCGGACCGGUUUUGGGCGGAAGCAGUCAACACCGCUUGCUACGCCAUCAACCGUCUCUACCUUUGCCGAAUACUCAAGAAGACAUCGUAUGAACUACUCACCGGUAAAAAGCCCAAUGUUUCAUAUUUUAGAGUCUUUGGUAGCAAAUGCUUUAUUCUUGUUAAAAGAGGUAGAAAAUCUAAAUUUGCUCCUAAGGCUGUAGAAGGCUUUUUACUUGGUUAUGAUUCAAACACAAGGGCAUAUAGAGUCUUUAACAAGUCCUCUGGACUAGUUGAGGUUACUUGUGACAUUGUGUUUGAUGAGACUAACGGCUCUCAAGUAGAGCAAGUUGAUCUUGAUGAGCUAGAUGAUGAAGAGGCUCCAUGCGUCGCGCUAAGGAACAUGUCCAUUGGGGAUGUGUGUCCUAAGGAAUCCGAAGAGCCUCCACAAGCACAAGAUCAACCAUCUUCCUCCAUGCAAGCAUCUCCACCAACUCAAGAUGAGGAUCAAGCUCAAGAGGAUGAAAAUGAAGAUCAAGAAGAUGAGCCACCUCAAGAGGAGGGCAAUGAUCAAGGGGGAGAUGCCAAUGAUCAAGACAAGGAAGAUGACGACAGUCCAAGACCACCACACCCAAGAGUCCACCAAGCAAUACAAAGAGAUCACCCCGUGAACUCCAUCCUCGGCGAUAUUCAUAAGGGGGUAACCACUCGAUCUCGUGUUGCUCAUUUUUGUGAACAUUACACCUUUGUAUCUUCUAUUGAGCCAUAUAGGGUGGAAGACACAUUAAGGGAUUCAGAUUGGGUGUUGGCGAUGCAAGAGGAACUCAACAACUUCACGAGGAAUGAGGUAUGACAUUUAGUUCCACGCCCUAAUCAAAAUGUUGUAGGAACCAAGUGGGUCUUCCGCAACAAGCAAGAUGAGCAUGGUGUGGUGACAAGGAACAAAGCCCGACUUGUGGCCAAGGGAUAAUCACAAGUCGAAGGUUUGGAUUUCGGUGAAACCUAUGCACCCGUAGCUAGGCUUGAGUCAAUUUGUAUAUUACUUGCCUAUGCUACUUACCAUGGCUUCAAGCUUUAUCAAAUGGACGUGAAAAGUGCCUUCCUCAAUGGACCAAUCAAGGAAGAAGUCUAUGUUGAGCAACCUCCCGACUUUGAAGAUAGUGAGUACCCUAACCAUGUGUAUAAACUCUCUAAGGCGCUUUAUGGGCUCAAGCAAGCCCCAAGAUCAUGGUAUGAAUGCCUAAGAGAUUUUCUUAUCGCUAAUGGCUUCAAAGUCGGAAAAGCCGAUCCUACUCUCUUUACUAAAACAAUUGCAAAUGAUUUGUUUGUAUGCCAAAUUUAUGUUGAUGAUAUUAUAUUUGGGUCUACUAACAAAUCUACAUUUGAAGAGUUUAGUAGAUAAUGGUACAAAAAUUCGAGAUGUCUAUGAUGGGGGAGUUGAAGUAUUUCUUAGGAUUUCAAGUGAAGCAACUCCAAGAGGGCAUCUUCAUCAGUCAAACGAAGUACAUUCAAGACAUACUCACCAAGUUUGGGAUGAAGGAUGCCAAGCCUAUCAAGACACCCAUGGGAACCAAUGGGCAUCUUGACCUCGACACGAGAGGUAAAUCCAUAGAUCAAAAGGUAUACCGGUCGAUGAUAGGAUCUUUACUCUAUUUAUGUGCAUCUCGACCGGAUAUUAUGCUUUUCAUAUGCAUGUGUGCAAGAUUCCAAGCCGAUCCUAAGGAAGUUCACCUUAGGGUCGUGAAAUGAAUCUUGAGAUAUUUAGUUCAUACUCCUAAGUUUGGCCUUUGGUACCCCAGGGGAUCCACAUUUGAUUUAAUAGGAUAUUUAGAUGCUGAUUGGGCAGGGUGUAAAAUUGAUAGAAAGAGCACAUCAGGGACUUGUUAGUUCUUGGGAAGAUCCCUGGUGUCAUAGGCUUCAAAGAAGCAAAAUUUUGUAUCUCUUUCUACCACCGAAGCCGAGUACAUUACCGCAGGCCAUUGUUGCGCGCAAUUGCUUUGGAUGAGGCAAACCCUUAGGGACUAUGGUUACAAAUUAACCAAAGUUCCGCUCCUAUGUGAUAAUGAGAGUGCAAUCCACAUGGUGGAUAAUCCCGUUGAGCACAACCGCACUAAGCACAUAGCCAUUCGGUAUCACUUUUUGAGGGAUCACCAACAAAAGGGGGAUAUCGAGAUUGUUUAUAUUAACACCAAAGAACAAUUAGCCGAUAUCUUUACCAAUGUUGGGGACUUGUUCUCAAAUGCUAUGAGUUAAGAACAAGGCAACACAAGAAAUGUUAAACGUUAAUGCCCUUCGUCCUUCGAGACAUUAUUUCCCUUAGGAUAUAAUGAUCUUCAGACGAAGGUCAUGAAGGACAUACCUUCAUCAUUGCAAUAUACGAUAAUAAAAGGAGAAUCAUAUAGAAUGUAAGAGACAACAUGAAUAAGUAUGUAAUAUUAUCAGCACAUUUCUAUUUUAUUAUCAUGGACAAAUAGAAAUGAUAUCAAAUUACAAAUGUACCUUCAGCUUGAUGGAAGGUAAAAGUACAAGUGUGACGCACGAUCAAAUACAAGUCAGCGUGAACAGUACGGGAGCACUGUUCAUCUAUUUAUAGGCACGGGACACAGCCCAUGUAAAAUUACACCCAUGCCUUUUACAUUUGCUAAUGACUCUAUAGUGAUCCAUCGAGGUCUAAAUGACCUUUUCCCUUUUAAGUCGGUUCCCUUUUCCGCUGUUAUGCCAAAGCUCCCUUGCGCGUAGCUUCGGCGCUACGUCAACCUUCGUAUUCUUUGUGCUUCUCACACUGUGGUUCUGAUCCGAGUCCGAAGGUACCUGUUCAUGUAUCAUACUCCAGAAAUAAUGUUAAAUCAUGUUUUUGAAGACCUUCGGAAGACGAAGGCCCCCAACAGUAGCCCCUCGCAAUAUUAAUUUGUUAGAAUAACGAAUUCAAAUUGCGAUAUGGACGAAGGCCUUAAGCCAAAAUUCUGAAAAAACACCUUCCCUUUGCUAGAAUAGCAACAGUCGAUGACAGACGGGGCCCUCCAAUUUGGAACGCACUGGGCGUAUAAAUAGGAACUCACCCCGAGCACAUUUGGUACGCUAUCUGCCGCCUGCUUUGCUUGCUCAAUUUUUUAGCUCUUGCCUACCAACGCUUGCUUGGUUUUUUAGACUUUCUAAGCUUCGGCUUUAAGGACACAUUUUCGCCAUUUCCGAAGAGAAGAUGUCUCAAGACAAAAAAGUUGUUGCUGAGACGAAGCUGAGCGAAGAGGAGAAGCUCCAUGAGGAGAAGACUGCUGGAUUUGUUGAAUCAAUAGCAAAGAAAAAUACAGAAAAGAUUACUAAGGAGAUUCUAGAAGGCUUAUCUGAAGAUACUGAUGACAGCGACAGUUAUGAUGCGGAAAGCGGAGGCGAAGACUCCGAAGAUCGGCCCUGGCGACCAAGCAUGCAGUCUUCGGGAAAUCAACCAUCAAACAGAGUCAUCUUGAUAAUAUGAGAGGAAGGUAUUUUCGAUAUUAUUUUUUUGUUCUUAUAUUAACCCAUUCAUUCUUUUCAUAUAGGGUUUAAUACUUAGCAACGCCUUAAGGGCGCAAAAGAAUGUCGAAGACGAGAGUUGCACUAUUGCUCUCAACAACCUUCAAACAGAGGUUAUCAAGCUGAGGAACGAAGCUUUGGAAAAAGAAAAAAUUCUACUUACAUUGGUGGACAAAGUAAAGGGGGAUGAAGCUAACUUCAAGGCUCAAUCUGAAAUCCAAAGGAAUGAGAUUGAAAACCUUCAAAAACAACUGGCCGAAGCCAAAUUGAAAUGCGCUAUUGCCGAAGCUGACCGAGUUGCCAGUGAGUACUAGAAAAAUUAUCUUGAAAAACAGUUGCAGAGCUUCGCUCAUCAAAAGAAAGAUGUUUUGAAAAAUCUGUGGAAUGCGUGAAAAAGAUAAAAACUAGCUUUGCCAACGUUGGCGCAUAUUCAAGCGAAGAUAACUUCAUACGGGGCGACCCCGAAGGCGUAAUCGAGUGGAUCAGCGGUGAGGCCGAAGCCUUUGAAGAGAUUUUGAGUGACCGCGGGGACGUCUGUGCCUUCUCUGGUGCGAGAGGAAUUGCAGCUAUUUUGGAGAAAGCAGGGUGCGAACAUGUUAAAACUUUGGCCCAGGCCGAAGCUGCCUUCUCCACCGAUGAUAUAAAGGACCCCUCGGCCGAAGCAAACUCAAUAGGUGGAAAAAAUUUCACUGAUAUCUGGGAAAACGGUGGCCGAGGGAUGGCCCAUGAAAUUAUAAAGAAAAACGAAAAAGAUAUUCACGACACUCGAGAGUCAAUAAAAGAAGCUGAAAAGGCUGCGGAGCUUGAGAGACGAAUAUGUAUUACUUAAUGGUUUUUAACUUUGUUGUUUAUUUUUGUGACUUUGAACUGAUUUAUGUUUUCUACCUUAGCUGAACUAUCUCCUCCCCCAGCGCCCUUAGAGUCAUUGGCCGACCCAGAGGCAAAGGAAUCAACAGAACUUAUUAACAUGGCCGAAACUAUUGUAGACGAAGUCGUUACCCAACUGCUGACCGAAUUUGCACAUAAAGUUUUGAAGGAAGAAGAGUAGCUAUUGUAAAAACAUUGCUAGAAUAUUAAUGUAACAUUUGCCGGACUAUGCUUGUAAUAUUUGGUGCUCCUAGGUUUUGAAUGUAAUAUAUGAAUGGUUUUGUAAUUCAUUUCUUUGCGAUGCAUGAAACUUUUAUGUACAUACCGUUUUUGAGCCUUCGGCGAAAAAACACCUUCCCUUCUUUUCAUGUUCGUAAAGAAGAGCUUUUAUGCUUCGUAAAAAAUCCUCCAAUCGUCGCAAAAACAUUAAUGCUUCGUCAACAACAGAUUUUUCCUCCACAUCAGAGCUGAUGAAGCUGUAUUUCUUCAAAACUUAUUUUGUGCCUUAGCACAAUUUCACUUUUUUCGAAGCAUUCUUCGAAGGUCAACAUUGUAUCCCCUUCUUGUGCCAUUGAUGCAAUAUGAUGUAUGAUGUUAUGUUAUGUGAAAUGAUGUGAUGAUGUUAUGUUAUGCAAAAUGAUGUUUAUGCCGAAGACACACACUCACACCCCCAUAGUGGAAUACACAAUCUCUUUGCCGCUUAUUUUUCGGCUUCACCGCUUAUUUUUCGGUGUAUCAGCGCUGACUUUUCACUGUAAGUUCUGCAUUCCCUUAGGAACGUCUUUUGAACUUCUUCACCUUCUAUUUCGGCGGUAUUCGCGUUGACUUUUCGCGCUUCGCCUUAUAUUUCGGCGGUAUUUGGCUCUGCAUUCCCUUUGGAAUGACUUUUGAGCAGAAAACUUACACUGCGCUCCCUUAGGAACGACUUUUUGUAGCUUCGGCAAACUUACGCUGCGUUCCUUAGAACGACUUUUUUGUGGCUUCGGUGAUACUUGUAAUGUGAUUUUUAGCCCCGCGUUCCCUUAGGAACGACUUUUGUGCUUCAGUGACUUUUUGAACUUCGUGAGUCUGUGGAGAAGAUAUAUUUCACUAUGGCAAGAACGAAGUUAUUACAAGAAAUCAAGAGAGCUAGGUUUUCAAUAAUUGUUCCUUAUUAAAAAGGAAGUGAUAAUGAAUGUAAAAACUGCUUCAGGGGUAGGAUAUCUCUCAAUAGAUAUGCUUCGAUUCUAGCACAGUACUGUUGGCUGUGCGAGCUUCGGACUCCUCCCUGAAAUCUCGUUGCUGAUGGGUCUGUUGGCUCCCUUCUGGCUGCUGGCCUCGUGAAUAUGCAGGUUGUAGUGGUGGCAGAGGUGGAGGCUGUGGCCAAGAUGCAUGUGGCUGGCUAGCCGAAGCAACAGAAGCUGCAGGAUGGUUACCCACAUACUCUGGUAUGUAGGGUGAGUGAUACGAAGCAGUGUGCAUGACCUGCUUCGGCUGGUUCUGCUGAGCUGCGGCUUCUGCUAAUUCCUUUUGUUUCUGAAUGGUGACAUGGCACAUCCUUGUAGUAUGGCCCUUGUCCUCACCACAGAAUAAGCAAUUUUCCUAGGUUGAUCCCCAAACCUUCCUCCGAAGCCCCUGGCACCUCUGCCUCUUGGAGUUGGCGGCCGAAAAUAGGUUUGUUGCUGCCCCGAAACUUGCGAGGAAUAUUGUGGCUUCUGUUGCUGACUUCCUCUGUCGUCAUUCUGGGUGGAGUGGAUUGAUCUGACAUGCCUUGGGUGGAUUCUUCCUCCGAAGCCCCUGGUCAUCUCAGAGAACCUGUAGGCUUCCUCCCUUCUUUGGCGAAAGUCAUUGUCAGCCCGGAUGUAUUCAUCCAUCUUUUGAAGCAGCUUCUCCAAAGUCUGUGGAGGCUUUCUAGCAAAAUACUGGGCAGUAGGUCCUGGAUGAAGCCCCUUGAUCAUGGCCUCAAUGACAAUUUCAUUGGGCACAGUAGGCACUUGUGCUCUCAGACGCAAGAACCUUCAGACGUAUGCCUGGAGAUACUCCUCAUGAUCUUGCGUGCAUUGAAACAGAGCCUGAGCUGUGACUGGCUUCGUCUGAAAGCCCUGGAAACUUGUCACCAGCAUGUCCUUGAGCUUCUGCCAUGAAGUGAUGGUCCCUGGCCGAAGAGAAGAAUACCACGUUUGAGCCACAUUCUUAACUGCCAUGACGAAGGACUUGGCCAUGACAGCUGCAUUGCCUCCGUAUGAAGAUAUAGUUGCUUCAUAACUCAUCAAAAACUGCUUCGGGUCUGAAUGCCCAUCAUACAUUGGAAGCUGAGGUGGCUUGUAUGAUGGGGGCCACGGGAUAGCCUGCAGUUCUGCUGCCAAGGGAGAAGCAUCAUCAAAAGUAAAGGUAUCAUGAUUAAAAUCAUCAUACCAUCCAUCGUCGUUGAACAAGCCCUCUUGAUGAAGCUCCCUGUGUUGGGGCCUUCGAUCUUGCUCGUCUUGAGCAAGGUGGCGUACUUCUUCAGUGGCUUCGUCAAUCUGCCUUUGAAGGUCAGCUUGUCGGGCCAUCUUCUCCUUCUUCUUUUGCACUUGCUGAUGAAGCAUCUCCAUGUUUCUGAUUUCUUGGUCCAACUCGUCCACCUGGGGUGUUGGACUAGUGGCCUUCCUCUUCUGGCUUCGGGCCUCUCGAAGAGAAAGGGUCUCCUGAUUUGGGUCCAGUGGCUGCAGAGCGGCAGCCCCUAGCGCUGAAACUUUCUUCGGUGGCAUGACGAAGGUCAAUGCUUGCCGAAGGUGGUCGAAAAGAGUUCACCCCACGGUGGGCGCCAAUGUUGGGGACUUGUUCUCAAAUGCUAUGAGUUAGGAACAAGGCAACAUAAGAAAUGUUAAACGUUAAUGCCCUUCGUCCUUCGAGACAUUAUUUCCCUUAGGAUAUAAUGAUCUUCAGACGAAGGUCAUGAAGGACAUACCUUCAUCAUUGCAAUAUACGAUAAUAAAAGGAGAAUCAUAUAGAAUGUAAGAGACAACAUGAAUAAGUAUGUAAUAUUAUCAGCACAUUUCUAUUUUAUUAUCAUGGACAAAUAGAAAUGAUAUCAAAUUACAAAUGUACCUUCAGCUUGAUGGAAGGUAAAAGUACAAGUGUGACACACGAUCAAAUACAAGUCAGCGUGAACAGUACGGGAGCACUGUUCAUCUAUUUAUAGGCACGGGACACAGCCCAUGUAAAAUUACACCCAUGCCCUUUACAUUUGCUAAUGACUCUAUAGUGAUCCAUCGAGGUCUAAAUGGCCUUUUCCCUUUUAAGUCAGUUCCCUUUUCCGCUGUUAUGCCGAAGCUCCCUUGUGCGUAGCUUCAGCGCUACGUCAACCUUCGUAUUCUUUGUGCUUCUCACACUGUGGUUCUGAUCCGAGUCCGAAGGUACCUGUUCAUGUAUCAUACUCCAGAAACAUUGUUAAAUCAUGUUUUUGAGGACCUUCGGAAGACGAAGGCCCCCGACAACCAAGCCACUAGAUGAGAAAACUUUUACCAAUCUUAGGCAUGAGCUAAACAUUCUAGAUUCUAGGAAUUUUGAUUGAUAUUUUGCACACAUAGCUUAUUUCAAUACCUUUGAUCAUAUCUCUUUCAUGUGCUAUGACUAAUGUGGUUUUCAAGUAUAUUUCAUGCUAAGUCAUAGAUUGAAAGGAAAAUGGAGUCUUCGGCGAAGAAAAGGCUUCCACUCCAUCGAAUUAUUCAUCCUUCGCCGACACUCCACAUCGCUCUCCAAUUUGGUAUAAUCUUCACUCCUACAUUAUUUACCAAAGGGGGAGAAAGUUUGAAAAAGGGCUUAUAUUUUCACUCACAAGUAUCCGUUUUUGGCGAUUCAUGCCAAAGGGGGAGAAAGUAUUAGCCCAAAGCAAAAGGACCGCACCACCACCAAUUUCAAAAAUGAAGUCUUUUAAAUUUGUACUAAAAGAAGGUUUUUCAAUUGGUAUCUUAUUUUUGAUAGAAUUUUCAAAUUGGUAUAACCCAUUUCAAAAUUAAUAUCUAAAACUCUCUUGAACAAUAAGAGGAGAAUUUCAUUAAGGGGGAGUUUUGUUUAGUCAAAGGAAAAGCAUUUGAAACAGGGGGAGAAAAUUUCAAAUCUUAAAAAUGCUUCUCAAAAUCUUACUCAUUUACCUUUGACUACUUGCAAAAAGACUUUGAAAAGAAUUUCCAAAAGAGUUUGCAAAAACAAAACAAGUGCUGCAAGCGUGGUCCAAAAUGUUAAAAUAGAAGAAAGCAUCCAUGCAUAUCUUAUAAAAUGUAUAUUGGUUUAAUUCCAAGUAACCUUUGCACUUUCAUUAUGCAAACUAGUUCAAUUCUGCAAUUAUAUAUUUGCUUUGGUUUGUGUUGGCAUCAAUCAUCAAAAAGGGGGAGAUUGAAAGGGAAAUAGGCUUACACCUUUUCCUAAAUGGUUUUGGUGGUUGAAUUGCCCAACGCAAAUAAUUGGACUAACUAGUUUGCUCUAGAUUAUAAGUUCUACAUGUGCCAGAGGUUCAACACAAACCAAUAAAAAGUCCAAGAAAGGGUUCAAAUAAAAAGAGCAAAAGACAACCGAAUGCUGCCCUGGUCUGGCGCACCGGACAGUGUCCGGUGCACCAGGGAGAUUCACUCCAAACUUGCCACCUUUGGGAAUUUGGGAAGCCACUCCGCUAUAAUUCACCGGACUGUCCGGUGUAGCACCGGACUGUCCAGUGUGCCAAGCGGAGCAACGGUCGUUAGCGCAACGGUCGAGUUGAACGGUCGGCUCACAACGCUACAGUGCGCGUACUGCGCGCGCAGAAGUUAGAGCAGGUGCAGAUGGCGCAUCGGACAGUGAACAGGACCUGUCCGGUGCACCACCGGACUAUCCGGUGGCCCACAUGUCAGAAGCUCCAACGGUCGAACCCUAACGGUUGGGUGACGUGGCUGGCGCACCGGACAGUGGCCGGUGGCGCACCGGACUGUCCGGUGCGCCCAUCGACAGUAGAGUUCCCCAACGGCCACUUUGGUGGUUGGGGCUAUAAAUACCCCCCAACCACCACACUUCAAUGCAUCCAAGUUUUCAGCCAUCAAACCUCAUACAAGAGCUCUAUACUUCAUUCCAAGACACAAACAAAGAGAUCAAAUCCUCUCCCAAGUCCGGAAUCACUUCAAACAAAUUAGUGACUAGAGAGAGAGACUUUUGUGUUCUUUUGAGCUCUUGCGCUUGGAUCGCUUUUCUUCUUCCUCCUUUCUUGUUCUCAACUCAAUUGUAAUCAAAGCAAGAGACACCAAGUUGUGGUGGUCCUUGUAGUGGACUAAGUGUCCUGUUUGAUUGAAGAGAAAAGCUCACUCAGUCUAGGUGACCGUUUGAGAGAGGGAAAGGGUUGAAAGAGACCCGGUCUUUGUGACCACCUCAACGGGGAGUAGGUUUGCAAGAACCGAACCUCGGUAAAACAAAUCAUCGUGUUCAUUCGUUUUAUUUCUUUGUUGAUUUGUUUUCCCUCUCUUUCGGACUCGAUUAUAUUUUUAACGCUAACCCCGACUUGUUGUUGUGCUUAAACUUUAUAAAUUUCAGAUUUGCCUAUUCACCCCCCCUUUAGGUGACUUUUAGUCUCAACACCUCCUCUCUCGUACGAUGCGCUUUACCAUGGAAGAUCCACCGAGUAUAGUCUGGCGUAAAUCUGAUCUUCCAAAUAUGUUCUACCAUGGCCUUCUUUGAUUUUCUUUUCCGGUUGGCACAUUUGCUGCACGGGCAUGGGACUAGACUCGCUCCUUUAGCAGCUUUGCCAUAUGCCCGUUCCACAAAAGCAUCGGUCUUUCUAAUCCAUUCAGGGGUGACAUCAUUCCUACUUACACGGCAUGUGUACAUCCACUCACGGUCUUCCAUCCUCUAACAUAUGUAACCGAGUAUAGUUUAAUAUAAACAUGUAAUGCAUGUACGCUAUGUUCCUACCUUAUAAUAGGUGAGUAUAGUUCUUAAUCUCACUCGCGGUUGCGUAGACGAAGUUAGUUUCCAUGCUCUACUUCGAUCCAAGACAGAGUUCCGGCAGCACCUCCCCGUUGUUCUCCGGAUACACGCCCUAGCAGGUAGAAUGUACUGUCCGGAGAUCAACAUGGAGGUGAAACCGAAACUCUGUCUCGGACCGGAGUAGAGCAUGGAAACUAAUACCAGGGCGACGGUGGAGUAGGGAUAGCGGGGCUGUGGCGGGUCGGUGCAGUGGCGACGUGUCGCAGUGCAGGUUCUAGUGUGGCGGCAAGGAAUACCUCUGCAAAAAAAAAUUAACACAAGUUUAUCAACAAAAAAAUCGGCAGGACUUCCCCUGCACGAGGAGGUUGCAAAAAACCAGCAAAUAAAACUAACAGCACGAUGGCUGACAUCCACACAUAUACUAGCAAAAAAUAGACUUGCGUGUGUUAUUUACAAUUGUGUUAGUUACACACAAUCUAUUGAUGCCAUAUUUGUUGUGUACUAGCGAUUGGCAAGAAGAAUCAACUUUUAGGCACUAAAACAUCUAGUGGGUUCAAAUUAAAGAACUUCUUCUAUUAAUUACAGAACCACCCCAUCGGCCGACCAGGAUCCAAAUUAAAGAACUUCUUCUUCUAUUAAUUAUAGUAUAUUAUAAUUACCAAGUCUCUUCUUAUAUUUACAUGUUCAUUUGCUUGCUUCUUGCAUAACAUAACGGCGAUCGAUGAUGACCAUCGUUAGUUUUAGUCCUACGUGUAUUUGAUUCAAUCCCUCCAUGUUCAUAGUAUAAAUUCAACCAAACCUAAAUAAGUUUCAGUCAGCUUGAUCUUAAAAUUGCAUCAUACACACACAUACAUAGUCUUACUAGAAGUAAGCAAUUUCUUUUAAACUAAUUUCCAGCCAACAUUGAUGAAUGAACUAGAAUGUGGCUAUAACCGAGACCUGUGUGGGUGGUGCUGGAGAUGGGGACGUUGGGCCGAGGCUCACCGGCGUCGAGGCCUGUCCGAAGAUGGCCGACCGCCAGGCCGGGGACGGGGCUCGUUGGAGAUGGCCGGGUCGAGCGACGGUGGGGACGUCGGAGGCAGGGAGGAUGGCCGGCACGGUGUCCGGAGCCGGAGGGGAUGACCGGAGAGGAGGAUGGUCGGCGCUUGCUCCGAUGGCGUUGGCGGCGAGUGGCGUUGGCGGAGGGGACGACUGGUUAGGGCUAUGUACACAGACUUUGCCGAGUGCCAUAUCACGGGCACUCGGCAAAGAUUUUUUUUAAAUUUAAAAAUAAACUUUGCCGAGUGUCACAGAUCACUGACAGGCACUUGGCAAAGAUUGUUUUAAUUUUUUUAAAAAAACUUUACAGAGUGUCCCACGGCAGGCACUCGACAAAGAAUGCUUUACUGACUGCCUUAUUUUGACACUCGACAAAGAAUUCUUUGCCAAGUGCCCGAUAAAAAGCACUUGGCAAAGCACCGAGCACUCGGCAAAGAGCCGGAUUCCGGUGUGGUUGUUUCAUGGAAGUUGUAAGUAGACCAUCUUAACAAGGUCAACAAUAGAAGUACAACUCACAACAUUAGAUACUGCCAAAGUUAAUGUUGAGAGGCUUCGUGAACUCCUUAUGGAUUUACUAGUAGUUGAAAAACCAAUACUGGUUAUCUAUAUGAGCUAUAAUAAUUAAACAUUGGUAAUCAAAGUGAACAAUUCUUAGGUUAACAUGAAGACUACAAAGCAUGUCAAGAACGGUUGAAACUGUUAAAACACUAAGAAACUCUAGAUUAAUUGUGUUGGACUAUGUCCAUACUUCUAAGAAUUUGGUAUGCCAGUUUAUAGAAGAUUUGUCACAUAAUGUGAUAGAUGGUGCAUCGAGAAAGAUGGACUUGAGACCCACUUAAUGCCAUUCCAUAGUAGUAGCAUUUUCUAUGUGAUUGGAGAUCUCAUGAAGUAAAAUGGUGAAAUAAGCUAGAGAAUGACUGAUGGAGAGACUCCUUAAAUAAAAUCUAGGUAAUUUCAUAUGAACAUUUCUCCUUCGAUGUACGAUAGGCUAACUAAAAUCUUAAUAUGAUUUGAGUGACAUAUCUAAGCAGGGAUGUUAUCUUAUAGAACAUCCUAUAAGGAACACACCUAUAUGACUUUGACUACUAAUCACAGUCUAUGAUAUGUGGGAAAUAUUUUUUUACUCAUGAAAGGCCUCGAAGUUUGACUUAUAUGCUUCAAACCAAUGGAUAACUGAUUGAAUCUGUUUCAGACAGCAGCAUAGUUAACUUCAAAAUUCUAUAUCUCCCAAACUUCUCAACCAAAAAUUAUUAAAUUAUGCUGACAGUAAGAACUUUUAUCCCUCUACAAAAGUCUCCAUAGUUGGAAGAGCCAAUUCGGCCAUUUACUAGAUGAAACCUACCAGUUAACAGACCCGCUCAUUUUUGUCAGGCAAACAAGAACCCUUAUAUAUCAAAGAGUAGUGGAUUUGAAUUUGUCUAAUAUGAAGUUUAUGGGCUUGGAUCAUUUAAAGUAUUUUAUAAUUCUGAAAGACAAGAUUAAACUAACUAUGUAUGAUCCUUUAGCACCGUACAGAUGGUCGAUGGGACAGUUACAUGGUUUAUAUAGAUGGACCUAUCUAUAUUCCUUCAGUGGUUGAGAACAAGGUAAAGGUGUGUCACACUCACGCGUGCGCCGCCUCCGCCGAGACGAGGCAUGGCGUUGCAGGGUGAGGCAUGGCAUGGUGCAGCACGAUCGCAGUCAUGGUCGUGGCACAGUGUAGCACUGUUGUGGAUAGAUAGAUAAACUAUUGUUGUAGUUAGAGUGCAUGAGUUUUUGAAUGCAACACUAGAAUUUUCACAAUUUAACUUAAUUAAGAAGUUAUAUCUUGAUGACACAGAGUUACCUGACCAUUGAUCUCACAUGCCCUUUUAGCUCUCUCGUACUCUAGACUUACCCUGACUAUUUAGGUCUCCUGACUCGCCAAUAUAAACACCAUCCUAUCAUUUGCUGUCGAAUACUUCUGUGUCACAACUCAACUGUCAGAUGAGUACUCCAUUACAGCACUGAGCAGGCCUCCGAAAUGAAUAUCUACUCAGAUGAAGGACGACAAUCGUGUUCUAGGGAAAUAUCAGCGACACAACUCCUUACUUCCUCCGCUUCUUCCUAGUGUUUUUUGUUGUGAUUGAGUCGACAUAGCAACAACACUGCACUAUUACAACCAGUACGACUAUAUCAACUAGCAAUGUCUUCCUUAUAUGUUACUAUUUAUUUUGCUCAUAUUCAUUAUGUUUAAAUCACAUAGGCGCCUUUAUGUUGGCAUCAAAAAAUCAGUAUCAACUUUAUAGAUUAAAAUGAAACUAAAAGUACCUAAAUUUCUAUCGGUGGGGAUCGAGUGAUUCUUUAAACCGAUUAUUACACAAGUUAACCACACUAAAAUUAACAAUGGUGAAUCGUGCCAUGAUUUUUUUCUAGUGGAAAAUAGCCAAACCAAGCAACACAUAUGUGGCUAUCGUUACACAUGUGUAAAGGUAUUGCAUCACACCAUUGUCACCCAUGUAUGUGGACAAUACCGAGAGGAAAAACCACUUAUUUAUUGUAUUUUAUCAAGUUUGUCUUGCUUACGUAUAAAUUAUAACCCAACAAAGUAAUCACUAAAUGUCAAAACCAACUAGAUACCAUGUCAUCUCUACCUUAUCUUACUAAUAUUCUUUUUGCAAAAUCCAAAAUUAAUCUUGCACAAGCACAAGGACUGAGAUGUGUAUAAAUAUCUCUUAAAUUAGUAGCUAAUAUAUCGCACAUAUUAUUGAGACCAACUAGCAACAUAGAAAGCACAAUAGUGUACCAACAAUGGCAGCCAAAAUAUUUUGCCUCCUUAUGCUCCUUGGUCUUUCUGCAAGUGCUGCUACGGCGACCAUUUUCCCGCAAUGCUCGCAAGCUCCUAUAGCUUCCCUUCUUCCCCCGUACCUCUCACCAGCGGUGUCUUCGGUAUGUGAAAACCCAAUUCUUCAACCCUACAGGAUCCAACAGGCAAUCGCAGCUGGCAUCUUACCUUUAUCACCCUUGUUCCUCCAACAAUCAUCAGCCCUAUUACAACAGUUACCUUUGGUGCAUUUAUUGGCACAAAACAUCAGGGCACAACAACUACAACAACUUGUGCUAGCAAACCUUGCUGCCUACUCUCAGCAACAGCAGUUUCUUCCAUUCAACCAACUAGGUUCAUUGAACUCUGCUUCUUAUUUGCAACAACAACAACUACCAUUCAGCCAGCUACCUGCUGCCUACCCCCAGCAAUUUCUUCCAUUCAACCAACUAGCAGCAUUGAACUCUCCUGCUUAUUUACAGCAGCAACAACUACUACCAUUCAGCCAGCUAGCUGGUGUGAGCCCUGCUACCUUCUUGACACAACCACAGUUGUUGCCGUUCUACCAGCACGUUGCGCCUAACGCUGGCACCCUCUUACAACUGCAACAAUUGCUGCCAUUCAACCAACUUGCUUUGACAAACCCAGCAGUGUUCUACCAACAACCCAUCAUUGGUGGUGCCCUCUUUUAGAUUUCUUAUGAGUUAUAGUUCAAUAAUAAAGUUUUUUAUCUGAUGUUUGUGGCUUCCCAGAAAUAAGAAAGUACAUUUCUAGAUUCUUAUGUGCUUCUAGUCUUCAAAUGUGGUUGAUAGUUAUUGUUGGGGACUUGUUCUCAAAUGCUAAGAGUUAAGAACAAGGCAACAUAAAAAUGUUAAAUGCUAAAGUCCUUCGUCCUUCGAAGCAUUAUUUCCCUUAGGAUAUAAUGAAUUUCGGACGAAGGCUAUGAAGGACAUACCUUCAUAAGCACAACGAAUGAUGAAGAAGAAUUCAUAUAAAUUAUGAGAUAUAACAUAAACAUUUAAACAUUAUUAUUAACUCAUUUCUAUUGACUUGUCAGGGAAAAAUAGAAAUGAUAAUAAAUUACAAAUAUACCUUCGGCUUGAGAGAAGGUAAAGGUACAAGCGUGAGGCAAAAGCAAAUGCCAAGUCAGCGUGAACAGUACGGGAACACUGUUCAUCUAUUUAUAGGCACGGGACGCAGCCCAUGCAAAAUUACAUCCAGGCCCUUUGCUUUUGACAAUAACUCUAUAGUAAUCUAUCUGGGUCUAGAUAGUCUUUUCCUCUUUAAGUCGGUUUCCUCUUUUCUGCCAUCAUACCGAAGCUCCCUUGCGCACAGCUUCGGCUCUGCUCCAUCCUUCGUAUUGUUUCCGUGCUUCUUCAUACCGUGGGCUCUUGUUCGAAGAUCCCUAUCCACACAUUAUACUCCAGAGGCAUUGUUAAAUCAUGUUUUUGAGGACCUUCGGAAGUCGAAGGCCCCCAACAGUAGCCCCUCGCAAUAUUAAUUUAUUAGAAUGAUAAAUUUAGAUCGCGACAUGGACGAAGGCCUUAAGCCGAAGGUCCGAAAAAACACCUUCCCUUUGCUAGAAUAGCAACAAUCAAUGACAAGCGGGGCCCUUUCCCUUGCAACACACUAGGCGUAUAAAUAAGAGCAUACCGCGAGCGGAUUUGGCACGCUUUUUGCCAUCUGCUCUUGCUCACCCAACUUUUAGCCCUUGCACACCAACACCUGCUUGGCCUUUUUUUAAAAAAAUUUAAGCUUCGGUUUCGAGAGCACUUUCUCAGCAUUUUCGAAGAUGUCUGAAGAUAAGAAAGUUGUCGCUGAGUCGAAGCUGAGACUUUCUGAGGAGAUGAAUCUCGGCUUUCUUGAAUCAAUAGCGAAGACAAAUACAGAGAAGAUUACUAGGGAGAUUUUAGAAGGUUUAUCUGAAGACACUGGUGACAGUGACAGUUAUGAUGUGGAAAGUGGUGGUGAAGAUUCCGAAGAUCGACCCUGGUGACCAAGCCAUGCAGUUUUUGGAAAAUCAAGCAUUAAACUAAGCCAUCUUGUUAAUAUGAGGGGCAGAUAUUUUCGGGAUUUAUCUAUUGUGAGGGCUGAUGAAGGAGAAAAAACUUGUCCUACUCCUGAGGAAAAUGAAGUCGUGAUAUUCCGAAGCUUCUUCAAGGCUGGGCUUCGGUUUCCUUUAAGCGGUUUCGUGGUUGAAGUUUUGAAGAUUUUUGAAAUCUACCUCCAUCAAAUUACUCCUGAAGCAAUCAUAAGGAUGGGAAUCUUCGUAUGGGCUGUGAAGAGCCAAGGUUUGGAGCCGAAUGCAAAAAGUUUCUGCAAUAUGCAUGAGCUAUUAUACGAGACGAAACCUUGGGGUAAAGAGAAAUAUCAUAACAAUUUUGGCUGCUACAGCUUCGGCGCCCGCUCUGGGUCAAGCUGUCCCGUGCCAACUUUUUGGAAGAGAUGGCCCGGGGACUCGAUGAAGGAAUGGUGUUAUGUAAAAAACGACUUGAAAACGCGAGAAGGUAUUAAAGAUAUCAUCAUGCGCCCCAUCUGGCAGCGUUUCGGCCUUCGGAAACCGAAGGUGGAUAUUGACGAAGCAACCGAAGAAUGCCAGAGGGCCUUCGGCGUAGUUUGCUCUUUCAUCGGGACAAGGGAUUUGAUCCAGGAACAUAUUUCCUUCAGAGUAUGGCCACUUGUAGAAAAGUGGGAAAUGCCGAAGGAAACCAUCAGCAAACCUGAUGAAGUGGACUAGUUAGGUUAAAAUAUACCUUCAGAUAUGGAGAUAAGUUUGUGGAGCCAGAUGAUGACUGGCUGAAAUGUAUUGAGGCCACAAGCGAUGAACUGCUUGGGCCAUAUUCGAAGACAGAAGAUACUGCACUGUCCGCGGCCUUCGGAGGUCGGAAGAAGAGACUCAACCGAGUGUUUGAUGCCAUUGGGUUCGUCUAUCCUGACUACCGUUACCCAACACAGGGUCAGAAAGGGAAAGAUACGACUUCUGUGAAGAAAGUUGCUUCAGCCGCUCCUAGUGAGCCGGCGCCGAAGAGGAAAAAGAUGAAGGUUCUUACGCACCGGCCACGCUAUAUUGAACCGGCCACAGUGCCUGAGUUUGUCGGUGAGACCUCUUCGGCCACCGAAGCCAAGGAGCCGACUCUCCUGCCGAAUAUUGAAGAGCCGGCCAAAAUGCCGGCAAUGGAAAAAAUAGAAGAACCGAGGGCUGAAGAGACAAAGACAUCGGAAAAGAAUGGUUAACGUGCUAAUGCCGAAUAUUGAAGUCCUUCAGCAAGAAUCGAGGUGCUAAUGCCAAUGCCGAUGGCACAAAAAGACCUUACGACAACCCCCAAGAGGAAAAGAAUGGUUAACGUGCUAGAUGUACUGGAAACGAUAAAAUCUUCAAGCUCUACUCCGAAGAUAGCUACUGAAGUUCCAAAGACACAAACUGAGGCCAAAGCUGCCAAAAGUCAAGCGGAAACUGAAACUGGGCUUUCAGAGCCUACCAAGAGGGAAUUCUUGGAAAUUGAAAAAGAAACGGAAAAAGAAUCUGCAGAAGAAACUUUUUCUGAGAAAAUCGUCACACAUAUUCCCGAAGCAUCUUCUGAAGCUUCUGACUAUGUAUUACGUCAUGCUUCGGGUAAAAAUCUGAGCGAAAAAGAAAAAAGAGAAGCUCAAUUCUAUGCGCAAAAAUUGAAAUAUCCAAAAGGGGCGCUGAUAUUCAACGGCAGCGGAGAAGAAGACUUCUUGUAUUGUCUCCCUCAUAGCAAGGAGAUUUCUGUCUGUCGGGAGAUGAGCAAAAGCUUCGGAUUCCCAACAUUAGAAGACGGGCUCUUGGUGUUGUCAAAGGACGAGCUAGCCGACAGCUUAGCGUAUAAUAGUUUAAAGGUGAAGAAAAUGAGAUCUUUGUAUUAUUUCUUGAAACCAAAAUUUUUCAUUUGCUUAAACUUAUUAACGCAUUUUUUUACAGGGUCUUAUACUUAGCAAUGCCCUCAGGGCACAAAAGAAUGACGAAGACGAAGGGUGCGCCAUAGCCCUGAGCAACCUUCGUUCCGAAGUAAUUGAUCUAAGGAACGAAGGUCUCGAAAAAGAUAAAAUAUUACAUUCGUUGGUGAAUAAAAUAAAAGAAGAUGAAGCUACUUUCAAAGCUCAAGCUGAGGCUCAGAAGCACGAAAUUGAGAAUCUUCGGAAACAACUAGCCAGAGCUACAGAAGAAUACACAAUUGAAGAAACAAAACGAGAAAUUAGUGAACAAUGGGCAAAUCAUUUAGAAAAAAACGUUGAAGAGCUUCGUGCGUCCAAGAAAAGGUGUUAUGAAAAAUCUAUAGAAUGUGUUAAGAAAAUAAGAACCAGCUUCACCAACGUUGGCGCGUUUUCAAGUGAAGAAAAUUUCAUGAGGGGUGACCCCGAAAGCCCAAUUGGAUGGAUCAGCCACGAAGCUGAAGCUUUUGAAUAGCCGUGGAGACAUAUGUGCCUUCUCGGGUGCCAGGGGGAUUGCCGCUGUUUUGGAGAAGAAAGGUUGCGAUCACGUGAAAUCCCUGGCACAGACCGAAGCCGUUUUAUCCUCUGAAGACAUAAAAGACCCUUCGGCCGAGGCGAGUUUGGUUGGUGGGAAAUUUUUCACCGACAUCUGGGAAAACGGUGGCCGGGAGAUGGCUCAAGAAAUUAUACGGAGAAGCGAGAAUGGUAUACAUGACGCUAGAAAAGUAGCAGAGGCCGCUGAGAAAAGUGUGGAUCUCGAAGGGCGAAUAGGUAUUAACUAGUAAUUUUUGGCUUUUUGUUGUAACCUUUUGAUUUUGAACUUGUUUACACUUUGUAACAUGGUCGCACCUUCUCCUCCCUCAGAGCCUGCCGAGCCAUCGACAGACCCCCACGUAAAGGGGGAUGACGAGAUUAGAAGAAUGGCUGAAGCUAUCAUGGACAAAGUUGUUGAUCAAUUACUAAACGAAGCUGCAGAAAUAGUUCUAAGGGAAGAUUAGAUGUUAUUGUAAAAACAUUUGGAAUGUAAUAUUUGUUGAACAAUAUGUGUAAUAUUUUGUAACUUUGAAUGUAAUAUAUAAUCUAUUUGUGGUUCAAUUCUUUACGAUGCAUGAAACUUUACAUACAUACCGUUUUUGAGCCUUCGGCGAAAAAACACCUUCCCUUCUUUUCAUGCUUCGUAAAUAAUAUCCGUAUAUCAUAAAAACAUCCAAUUUUCGUAAAAUCAGUAACCAAUAGAUCUUUUUAUUUCAUAAAAACAUCCAAUCUUCGUAAAAUCAGUAACCAAUCUUCGUAAAGGCAUGCUUCUUCAAUAAUUAUUUUUGUGCCUUGGCACUGUUUCUUCGAAACAAUCUCCGAAUAUCAACAUUGAAACCCCCUUCUUGCGUCAUUGAUGCAAUAUGAUGUAUGAUGUUAUGCUAUGCAAAUGAUGUGAUGAUGUGAUGUUAUGCAAAAUGAUAUUUGCCGAAGAUCAACGUUUAUUUUUCACUGCAAGCCUCCCUUAGGAGCUUCUUCGCCUUUUACUUCAGCGGAAUCAGCAUUUAUUUUUCGCUGUAAGCCUCCCUUAGGAGCUUCUUCGCCUUUUACUUUCAGCGGAAUCAGCGUUUAUUUUUUGCUGUAAGCCUCCCUUAGGAGCUUCUUCGCCUUUUACUUUCAGCGGAAUCAGCGUUUAUUUUUCGCUGUAAGCUCUGCAUUCCCUUCGGAACGACUUUUGAGCAGAAAACUUACGCUGCGCUCCCUUAGGAACGACUUUUUGUUAUUUCGGAGAUUCUCCUUGUAACCAUAAAUUCUUAUGCUUCGGCAACUCUGUUAUUUUGUGGAGAAGGUAUAUUUUUACUGUGGCGAAAACGAAGCUAUUACAAGAAAUUGAAAACGACAAAAAGCACUUAGGCUUUCAAUAAUUGUUCCUUAUUAAAAAGAAAAUGAUACUGAAUGUAAAAACUACUGCCGAGGUAGGAUAUUUGUUAGUAAAUAUGCUUCGAUUCUGGCACAGUACUAUUGACUGUGCGAGCUUCGGACUCUUCUCUAAAGUCCCGUUGAAGGUGGAUAUGCUGACUCCCUUCUGGCUGCUGGCUUUGUUGCAUUGGUGGUGGAGGUGGAGGCUGCUGCCAAGAUGCCUGAGGUUGGCUUGCCGAAGCAACAGAAGCUGCAGGGUGGUUGCCUACAUACUCUGGAAUGUAAGGCGAAUGGUAUGAAGCAGUGUGCAUAACUUGCUUCGGCUGGCUCUGUUGGGCUGCAGCUUCUGCUAUCUCCUUUUGUUUCUGGAUGGUAACAUGGCACAUCCUGGUGGUAUGGCCCUUGUCCUCUCCACAGAAUAGGCAAUAGAUCUUCCUGGGCUGAUCCCCAAAUCUUCCUCCGAAGCCCCUGGCACCUCUACCCCUUGGAGCUGGAGGCCGAGGAUAGCUCUGCUGCUGCCCCGAAGCCUGGGAGGAAUAUUGCGGCCUCUGCUGCUGGCUUCCCCUGUCAUCAUUCUGAGUGUUAUGAAUCGAUCUGACAUGUCUAGGGUGAACUCUCCCUCCGAAGCCACUGGCUAUUUUGGAGAACCUGUAAGCUUCCUCCCUUCUCUAUCGGAAGUCGUUGUCAGCGCGGAUGUAUUCGUCCAUCUUCUGAAGCAGUUUCUCCAGAGUCUGAGGGGGCUUCCUGGCAAAGUACUGGGCUGAAGGUCCUGGCCGAAGCCCCUUAAUCAUGGCCUCAAUGACAAUUUCAUUGGGCACUGUUGGUGCUUGUGCCCUCAGGCGUAAGAACCUUCGGACAUACGCCUGAAGAUAUUCUCCGUGGUCUUGGGUGCACUGGAAUAAGUCUUGAGCGGUGACCGGCUUCGUUUGAAACCCUUAGAAACUGGUGAUCAGCAUAUCCUUCAGCUUCUGCCAUGAUGUGAUUGUUCCUGGCCGAAGGGAGGAGUACCAGGUUUGUGCAACAUUCUUGACGGCCAUGACGAAAGACUUCGCCAUGACUGCAAUAUUGCCACCAUAGGAAGAUAUCGUUGCUUCGUAGCUCAUCAGAAACUGCUUCAGAUCUGAGUGUCCGUUGUACAUGGGGAGUUGAGGUGGCUUGUAAGACGGAGGCCAAGGUGUAGCCUGCAGUUCUGGUGAUAGAGGAGAAGCAUCGUCAAAAGCAAAAUUUCCAUGAUGGAAAUCCUCAUACCAGUCAUCCUCGUUGACGAAGCCCUCUUGGUGGAGCUCUCUGUACUGGGGCCUCCGGUUCUAUUCAUCUUGCGUAAGAUGACGAACCUCUUUAGAGGCUUUGUCUAUCUGCCUUUGUAGGUCAGCUAGCCGGGCCAUCUUUUCUUUCUUCUUUUGCACUUGUUGAUGCAGCAUUUCCAUGUUCCUGAUUUCUUGGUCCAAAUCGUCCUCCUGAGGCGUUGGACUGGUGGCCUUCCUCUUCUGGCUUCGGGCUUCCCGAAGAGAGAGAGUCUCCUGGUUCGUGUCCAGCGGCUGCAGAGCCGCAGCCCCUGUUGCUGAAGCUUUCUUUGGCGGCAUGACAAAGGUCGAUGCUUGCCGAAGGUGUUCGAAACUCAAAAAGUGGAAGUGAGUUCACCGGAGGUGGGCACUAAUGUUGGGGACUUGUUCUCAAAUGCUAAGAGUUAAGAACAAGGAAACAUAAAAAUGUUAAAUGCUAAAGUCCUUAGUCCUUCGAAGCAUUAUUUCCCUUAGGAUAUAAUGAAUUUCGGACGAAGGUUAUGAAGGACAUACCUUCAUAAGCACAACGAAUGAUGAAGAAGAAUUCAUAUAAAUUAUGAGAUAUAACAUAAACAUUUAAACAUUAUUAUUAACUCAUUUCUAUUGACUUGUCAGGGAAAAAUAGAAAUGAUAAUAAAUUACAAAUAUACCUUCGGCUUGAGAGAAGGUAAAGGUACAAGCGUGAGGCAAAAGCAAAUGCCAAGUCAGCGUGAAUAGUACGGGAACACUGUUCAUCUAUUUAUAGGCACGGGACGCAGCCCAUGCAAAAUUACAUCCAGGCCCUUUGCUUUUGACAAUAACUCUAUAGUAAUCUAUCUGGGUCUAGAUAGUCUUUUCCUCUUUAAGUCGGUUUCCUCUUUUCUGCCAUCAUGCCGAAGCUCCCUUGCGCACAACUUCUGCUCUGCUCCAUCCUUCGUAUUGUUUCCGUGCUUCUUCAUACCAUGGGCUCUUGUUCGAAGAUCCCUGUCCACACAUUAUACUCCAGAGGCAUUGCUAAAUCAUGUUUUUGAGGACCUUCGGAAGCCGAAGGCCCCCAACAGUUAUUUUGCUCUAAGAUCGGCAGUAAUGAAGUAUAAAUCAUCGUUGUGGUGUGCUACUCGGUUAAUUGAGCAUUAACACACACAAACAUGACGAGGAUGGUAUAAUCUCCAAAAAUGUGUACUUUGUUAGGUGGGACCCUAUAGCCUUGCAGAAUGUGCUAUGUUAGGCAUGCCUGGAAACGUGUGACGCAUACGUUUUGUGAACCUGUUCAUAUUAUAUGUGCUUUUAUAUUAUCGUAUUUUAUUAAAAUACUAAUAUUUAUUACUAGUAAGAUAUAACAUUCUAUCUAGCUUAAAAACUAACCAUAAAUAUUCCAUAAUAACUAGAUUUACCAAACUAAUAUACUAAAUAUACAUAAUAAAUACAAAAUUAACAAGACAAUAAUCAAUAUUUAUGAGCUUAAUAUAUUUAGACAUUAUGGUUGGUCGACGAUAAUCAUGCUAACUUUCCGUAAUUGCUUGAUUGUAAAUAUGCUUAGAAUAAUGCCUCUUUGUUCUACAUGGCAAAUAGGGACCAUUAUGGUGUAACACCCUGGGAUCCACAAACACCCUGAAAUGCUACUAAACUACACAACUAACCUUCAUAUAUUAAAUUUCGACAGCAUCUCCUUUGAAAAUUUGUAUAAACGUGGAAGCAACAGAGUAUAAACAGAUAUGAUGAUAAGGAAACAUAAUAGACAUUAAUAAUCUGCUAGAAAUGGGAAGAUAACCAUAACGACAUAAACUGAAUUAACUAGUGUGCACGGCAUGUUAAAAACAAACAUCGUUGACAAGAAGUUUCUAAUUAAAUCAUGGCUGUGCCUAGGCAGCGUUAUUAUAUGAGUGAAGGUGGACGUGAUGCUACUUCCCUCAUUCCCAACAUGAAUCAAGUACCUGUAUUGAGUAAUGCAAGAGUGAGAUGAAAACAUCUCAGCAAGUAAAUUGUUUUGACGAGAUAUUUAAACCAAAAAAAUUUGAUUUAAUCAACAUUUUAAAGGGAUCACAAUUGAGAUCAGACAUACUUGUAGAUAUAAAACUCAAUAGUCCCAAAAUAACCAAUGCCAUCUCAUUUCCACAAACAACCACAAUAGGUUGUAUAACACUUCCCUGCGUCAUCAAUACCUGCAAAUAUCACUUCAAUGUAUGCAUAGGAAUGCAAUGUUUAAGUCCUCUGCAUUCAUACUUCUUAGAGUAUAAAACCACACCAUCUGCAAAUAUCACUUCAAUGAAUGCAUAUGAAUGCAAUGCAUAUGUCCUCUGCCUUCAUACCUCUAAGGGUAUGAAGACGCAUCGUACCCCUCCUCGGGCAACGUACGAUGCUAAGUUGUACCGGUACGGUCGGACCAUAGGUCACGACAAAACUUCAGAUGCAAGUGAAUCAUGACAUGUAUAUGGCAUGCUGCAUUUAUCAAUAUACUACACUUCCUUCACAUACAAUACAAACCUCAAAUAAUACUUCGUUUACCUUCAGAUACAAUACAAACCUCAAAUAAUACUUCAUUCACCUUCAGGGGUGUUUAUUAAUCUCGUGGGUCAUACUCAAAUCAUCAUCAUCAUCAAUGAUGUUUAAGCAUCAGUAUAAUACAAUCAAGUAAAGCAUCACCAUAGAGUUCAAUUAUGAAAGAAUUCGAUGAUUCUGAAUAUUAGAGUGUAUGCGAUGAAACAACAAAGUCAAAACGGUAGCAACCACCGCUACAUUCACUUGCCUUCAUCGAAGAAGAAAAAGGUACUAGGCAUGAUUCGGAGUGUAGACACCUGCUGUGGGGCUUAAAACUUAGUACAAAUAUUCCACAAACAUUUGCCAACAACUAACAAAUCGCUCCUACACUUGUAACCAAGACCCGGUGGAAUGACUCCCACCCUGAACCACAUGUCAAACAGCAGGAGUGCUGUUUGUUAAUUUUGUAUCUUUAAAAUUAUAACAGUGGUGAUAUCAAACAAAUACUCUAGAAGUUUCUACACAAAAUACUCUACAACUUCGGUAUUCAAUGGAUAAUUAAAUUUUGCCAUCUAUAAGUUCUAAAACAUCUGACAAGAUAACUGACAGAAUCUGUUUCAGACAGCAGCAUAGUUAACUUCAAAAUUCGAUAUCUCCCAAACUCCUCAACCAAAAUUUAUGAAAUUAUGUUGACAGUAAGAACUUUUAUCCCUCUACAAAAGUCUCCAUAGUUGGAAGAGCCAAUUCGGCCAUUUACUAGAUGAAACCUACCAUUUAACAGACCCGCUCAUUUUUGUCAGGCAAACAAGAACCCUUAUAUAUCAAAGAGUAGUGGAUUUGAAUUUGUCUAAUAUGAAGUUUAUGGGCUUGGAUCAUUUAAAGUAUUUUAUAAUUCUGAAAGACAAGAUUAAACUAACUAUGUAUGAUCCUUUAGCACCGUACAGAUGGUCGAUGGGACAGUUACAUGGUUUAUAUAGAUGGACAUAUCUAUAUUCCUUCAGUGGUUGAGAAAAAGGUAAAGGUGUGUCACACUCACGCGUGCACUGCCUCCGCCGAGACGAGGCAUGGCGUUGCAAGGUGAGGCAUGGCAUGGUGCAGCACGAUCGUAUACAUGGUCGUGGCACAGUGUAGCACUGUUGUGGAUAGAUAGAUAAACUUUUGUUGUAGUUAGAGUGCAUGAGUUUUUGAAUGCAACACAAGAAUUUUCACAAUUUAACUUAAUUAAGAAGUUAUAUCUUGAUGACACAGAGUUACCUGACCAUUGAUCUCACAUGCCCUUUUAGCUCUCUCGUUCUCUAGACUCACCCUGACUAUUUAGGUCUCCUGACUCGCCAAUAUAAACACCAUCCUAUCAUUUGCUCUCGAAUACUUCUGUGUCACAACUCAACUGUCAGAUGAGUACUCCAUUACAGCACUGAGCAGGCCUCCGAAAUGAAUAUCUACUCAGAUGAAGGACGACAAUCGUGUUCUAGGGAAAUAUCAGCGACACAACUCCUUACUUCCUCCGCUUCUUCCUAGUGUUUUUUGUUGUGAUUGAGUCGACAUAGCAACAACACUGCACUAUUACAACCAGUACGACUAUAUCAACUAGCAAUGUCUUCCUUAUAUGUUACUAUUUAUUUUGCUCAUAUUCAUUAUGUUUAAAUCACAUAGGCGCCUUUAUGUUGGCAUCAAAAAAUCAGUAUCAACUUUAUAGAUUAAAAUGAAACUAAAAGUACCUAAAUUUCUAUCGGUGGGGAUCGAGUGAUUCUUUAAACCGAUUAUUACACAAGUUAACCACACUAAAAUUAACAAUGGUGAAUCGUGCCAUGAUUUUUUUCUAGUGGAAAAUAGCCAAACCAAGCAACACAUAUGUGGCUAUCGUUACACAUGUGUAAAGGUAUUGCAUCACACCAUUGUCACCCAUGUAUUUGGACAAUACCGAGAGGAAAAACCACUUAUUUAUUGUAUUAUAUCAAGUUUGUCUUGCUUACGUAUAAAUUAUAACCCAACAAAGUAAUCACUAAAUGUCAAAACCAACUAGAUACCAUGUCAUCUCUACCUUAUCUUACUAAUAUUCUUUUUGCAAAAUCCAAAAUUAAUCUUGCACAAGCACAAGGACUGAGAUGUGUAUAAAUAUCUCUUAAAUUAGUAGCUAAUAUAUCGCACAUAUUAUUGAGACCAACUAGCAACAUAGAAAGCACAAUAGUGUACCAACAAUGGCAGCCAAAAUAUUUUGCCUCCUUAUGCUCCUUGGUCUUUCUGCAAGUGCUGCUACGGCGACCAUUUUCCCGCAAUGCUCGCAAGCUCCUAUAGCUUCCCUUCUUCCCCCGUACCUCUCACCAGCGGUGUCUUCGGUAUGUGAAAACCCAAUUCUUCAACCCUACAGGAUCCAACAGGCAAUCACAGCUGGCAUCUUACCUUUAUCACCCUUGUUCCUCCAACAAUCAUCAGCCCUAUUACAUCAGUUACCUUUGGUGCAUUUAUUGGCACAAAACAUCAGGGCACAACAACUACAACAACUUGUGCUAGCAAACCUUGCUGCCUACUCUCAGCAACAGCAGUUUCUUCCAUUCAACCAACUAGCUGCAUUGAACUCUGCUUCUUAUUUGCAACAACAACAACUACCAUUCAGCCAGCUACCUGCUGCCUACCCCCAGCAAUUUCUUCCAUUCAACCAACUGGCAGCAUUGAACUCUCCUGCUUAUUUACAGCAGCAACAACUACUACCAUUCAGCCAGCUAGCUGGUGUGAGCCCUGCUACCUUCUUGAUACAACCACAGUUGUUGCCGUUCUACCAGCACGCUGCGCCUAACGCUGGCACCCUCUUACAACUGCAACAAUUGCUGCCAUUCAACCAACUUGCUUUGACAAACCCAGCAGCGUUCUACCAACAACCCAUCAUUGGUGGUGCCCUCUUUUAGAUUUCUUAUGAGUUAUAGUUCAAUAAUAAAGUUUUUUGUCUGAUGUUUGUGGCUUCCCAGAAAUAAGAAAGUACAUUUCUAGAUUCUUAUGUGCUUCUAGUCUCCAAAUGUGGUUGAUAGUUAUUUUGCUCUAAGAUCGACAGUAAUGAAGUAUAAAUCAUCGUUGUGGUGUGCUACUCGGUUAAUUGAGCAUUAACACACACAAACAUGACGAGGAUGGUAUAAUCUCCAAAAAUAUGUACUUUGUUAGGUGGGACCCUAUAGCCUUGCAUAAUGUGCUAUGUUAGGCAUGCCUGGAAACGUGUGACGCAUAUGUUUUGUGAACCUGUUGAUAUUAUAUGUGCUUUUAUAUUACCAUAUUUUAUUAAAAUACUAAUAUUUAUUACUAGUAAGAUAUAACAUUCUAUCUAGCUUAAAAACUAACCAUAAAUAUUCCAUAAUAACUAGAUUUACCAAACUAAUAUACUAAAUAUACAUAAUAAAUACAAAAUUAACAAGACAAUAAUCAAUAUUUAUGAGCUUAAUAUAUUUAGACAUUAUGGUUGGUCGACCAUAAUCAUGCUAACUUUUCGUACUUGCUUGAUUGUAAAUAUGCUUAGAAUAAUGCCUCUUUGUUCUACAUGGCAAAUAGGGACCAUUAUGGUGUAACACCCUGGGAACCACAAACACCCCGAAAUGCUACUAAACUACACAACUAACCUUCAUAUAUAAAAUUUCGACAGCAUCUCCUUUGAAAAUUUGCAUAAACGUGGAAGCAACAGAGUAUAAACAGAUAUCAUGAUAAGGAAACAUACUAGACAUUAAUAAUCUGCUAGAAAUGGGAAGAUAACCAUAACGACAUAAACUGAAUUAACUAGUGUGCACAACUUGUUUAAAACAAACAUCAUUGACAAGAAGUUUCUAAUUAAAUCAUGGCUGUGCCUGGGUAGCGUUAUUAUGAGAGUGAAGGUGGACGUGAUGCUACUUCCCUCAUUCCCAACAUGAAUCAAGUACCUGCAUUGAGUAAUGCAAGAGUGAGAUGAAAACAUCUCAGCAAGUAAAUUGUUUUGACGAGAUAUUUAAAGCAAAAAAAUUUGAUUUACUCAACAUUUUAAAGGGAUCACAAUUGAGAUCAGAAAUACUUGUAGAUAUAGAACUCAAUAGUCCCAAAAUAACCAGUGCCAUCUCAUUUCCUCAAACAACCACAAUAGGUUGUAUAACACUUCCCUGCGUCAUCAAUACCUGCAAAUAUCACUUCAAUGUAUGCAUAGGAAUGCAAUGUUUAAGUCCUCUGCAUUCAUACUUCUUAGAGUAUAAAACCACACCAUCUGCAAAUAUCACUUCAAUGAAUGCAUAUGAAUGCAAUGCAUAUGUCCUCUGCCUUCAUACCUCUAAGGGUAUGAAGCCGAAUCGUACCCCUCCUCGGGCAACGUACGAUGCUAAGUUGUACCGUUACGGUCGGACCAUAGGUCACGACAAAACUUCAUAUGCAAGUGAAUCAUGACAUGUAUAUGGCUUGCUGCAUUUAUCAAUAUACUUCACUUCCUUCAUAUACAAUACAAACCUCAAAUAAUACUUCGUUUACCUUCAGAUACAAUACAAACCUCAAAUAAUACUUCAUUCACCUUCAGGGGUGUUUAUUAAUCUCGUGGGUCAUACUCGAAUCAUCAUCAUCAUCAAUGAUGAUUAAGCAUCAGUAUAAUACAAUCAAGUAAAGCAUCACCAUAGAGUUCAAUUAUGAAAGAAUUCGAUGAUUCUGAAUAUUAGAGUGUAUGCGAUGAAACAACAACGUCAAAACGGUAGCAACCACCGCUACAUUCACUUGCCUUCAUCGAAGAAGAAAAACAUACUAGGCAUGAUUCAGAGUGUAGACACCUGCUGUGGGGCUUAAAACUUAGUACAAAUAUUCCACAAACAUUUGCCAACAAUUAACAAAUCGCUCCUACACUUGAAACCAAGACCCGGUGGAAUGACUCCCACCCUGAACCACAUGCCAAACAAUAGUAGUGUUGUUUGUUAAUUUUGUAUCUUUAAAAUUAUAACAGUGGUGAUAUCAAACAAAUACUCCAGAAGUUUCUACACAAAAUACUCUACAACUUUGGUAUUCAAUGGAUAAUUAAAUUUUGCCAUCUAUAAGUUCUAAAACAUCUGAUAAGAUAACUGACUGAAUUUGUUUCAGACAACAGCAUAGUUAACUUCAAAAUUCGAUAUCUCCCAAACUCCUCAACCAAAAAUUAUGAAAUUAUUCUGACAGUAAGAACUUUUUUCCCUCUACAAAAGUAUCUAUAGUUGGAAGAGCCAAUUCGGCCAUUUACUAGAUGAAACCUACCAGUUAACAGACCCGCUCAUUUUUGUCAGGCAAACAAGAACCCUUAUAUAUCAAAGAGUAGUGGAUUUGAAUUUGUCUAAUAUGAAGUUUAUGGGCUUGGAUCAUUUAAAGUAUUUUAUAAUUCUGAAAGACAAGAUUAAACUAACUAUGUAUGAUCCUUUAGCACUGUACAGAUGGUCGAUGGGACAGUUACAUGGUUUAUAUAGAUGGACCUAUCUAUAUUCCUUCAGUGGUUGAGAAAAAGGUAAAGGUGUGUCACACUCACGUGUGCGCCGCCUCUACCGAGAUGAGGCAUGGCGUUGCAAGGUGAGGCAUGGCAUGGUGCAGCACGAUCGUAUACAUGGUCGUGGCACAGUGUAGCACUGUUGUGGAUAGAUAGAUAAACUUUUGUUGUAGUUAGAGUGCAUGAGUUUUUGAAUGCAACACAAGAAUUUUCACAAUUUAACUUAAUUAAGAAGUUAUAUCUUGAUGACACAGAGUUACCUGACCAUUGAUCUCACAUGCCCUUUUAGCUCUCUCGUUCUCUAGACUCACCCUGACUAUUUAGGUCUCCUGACUCGCCAAUAUAAACACCAUCCUAUCAUUUGCUCUCGAAUACUUCUGUGUCACAACUCAACUGUCAGAUGAGUACUCCAUUACAGCACUGAGCAGGCCUCCGAAAUGAAUAUCUACUCAGAUGAAGGACGACAAUCGUGUUCUAGGGAAAUAUCGGUGACACAACUCCUUACUUCCUCCGCUUCUUCCUAGUGUUUUUUGUUGUGAUUGAGUCGACACAGCAACAACACUGCACUAUUACAACCAGUACGACUAUAUUAACUAGCAAUGUCUUCCUUAUAUGUUACUAUUUAUUUUGCUCAUAUUCAUUAUGUUUAAAUCACAUAGGCACCUUUUUGUUGGCAUCAAAAAAUUAGUAUCAACUUUCUAGAUUAAAGUGAAACUAAAAGUACCUAAAUUUCUAUCGGUGGGGAUCGAGUGAUUCUUUAAACCAAUUAUUACGCAAGUUAACCACACUAAAAUUAACAUUGGUGAACCGUGCCAUGAUUUUUUCUAAUGGAAAAUAGCCAAACCAAGCAACACAUAUGUGGCUAUCGUUACACAUGUGUAAAGGUAUUGCAUCACACCAUUGUCACCCAUGUAUUUGGACAAUACCGAGAGGAAAAACCACUUAUUUAUUGUAUUUUAUCAAGUUUGUCUUGCUUACGUAUAAAUUAUAACCCAACAAAGUAAUCACUAAAUGUCAAAACCAACUAGAUACCAUGUCAUCUCUACCUUAUCUUACUAAUAUUCUUUUUGCAAAAUCCAAAAUUAAUCUUGCACAAGCACAAGGACUGAGAUGUGUAUAAAUAUCUCUUAAAUUAGUAGCUAAUAUAUCACACAUAUUAUUGAGACCAACUAGCAACAUAGAAAGCACAAUAGUGUACCAACAAUGGCAGCUAAAAUAUUUUGCCUCCUUAUGCUCCUUGGUCUUUCUGCAAGUGCUGCUACGGCGACCAUUUUCCCACAAUGCUCACAAGCUCCUAUAGCUUCCCUUCUUCCCCCGUACCUCUCACCAACGGUGUCUUCGGUAUGUGAAAACCCAAUUCUUCAACCCUACAGGAUCCAACAGGCAAUCGCAGCUGGCAUCUUACCUUUAUCACCCUUGUUCCUCCAACAAUCAUCAGCCCUAUUACAGCAGUUACCUUUGGUGCAUUUAUUGGCACAAAACAUCAGGGCACAACAACUACAACAACUUGUGCUAGCAAACCUUGCUGCCUACUCUCAGCAACAGCAGUUUCUUCCAUUCAACCAACUAGCUGCAUUGAACUCUGCUUCUUAUUUGCAACAACAACAACUACCAUUCAGCCAGCUAUCUGCUGCCUACCCCCAGCAAUUUCUUCCAUUCAACCAACUGACAGCAUUGAACUCUCCUGCUUAUUUACAGCAGCAACAACUACUACCAUUCAGCCAGCUAGCUGGUGUGAGCCCUGCUACCUUCUUGACACAACCACAGUUGUUGCCGUUCUACCAGCACGCUGCGCCUAACGCUGGCACCCUCUUACAACUGCAACAAUUGCUGCCAUUCAACCAACUUGCUUUGACAAACCCAGCAGCAUUCUACCAACAACCCAUCAUUGGUGGUGCCCUCUUUUAGAUUUCUUAUGAGUUAUAGUUCAAUAAUAAAGUUUUUUGUCUGAUGUUUGUGGCUUCCCAGAAAUAAGAAAGUACAUUUCUAGAUUCUUAUGUGCUUCUAGUCUCCAAAUGUGGUUGAUAGUUAUUUUGCUCUAAGAUCAACAGUAAUGAAGUAUAAAUCAUCGUUGUGGUGUGCUACUCGGUUAAUUGAGCAUUAACACACACAAACAUGACGAGGAUGGUAUAAUCUCCAAAAAUGUGUACUUUGUUAGGUGGGACCCUAUAGCCUUGAUUAAUGUGCUAUGUUAGGCAUGCCUGGAAACGUGUGACGCAUAUGUUUUGUGAACCUGUUGAUAUUAUAUGUGCUUUUAUAUUACCAUAUUUUAUUAAAAUACUAAUAUUUAUUACUAGUAAGAUAUAACAUUCUAUCUAGCUUAAAAACUAACCAUAAAUAUUCCAUAAUAACUAGAUUUACCAAACUAAUAUACUAAAUAUACAUAAUAAAUACAAAAUUAACAAGACAAUAAUCAAUAUUUAUGAGCUUAAUAUAUUUAGACAUUAUGGUUGGUCGACGAUAAUCAUGCUAACUUUUCGUAAUUGCUUGAUUGUAAAUAUGCUUAGAAUAAUGCCUCUUUGUUCUACAUGGCAAAUAGGGACCAUUAUGGUGUAACACCCUGGGAACCACAAACACCCCGAAAUGCUACUAAACUACACAACUAACCUUCAUAUAUAAAAUUUCGACAGCAUCUCCUUUGAAAAUUUGCAUAGACGUGGAAGCAACAGAGUAUAAACAGAUAUCAUGAUAAGAAAACAUACUAGACAUUAAUAAUCUGCUAGAAAUGGGAAGAUAACCAUAACGACAUAAACUGAAUUAACUAGUGUGCACAACUUGUUAAAAACAAACAUCGUUGACAAGAAGUUUCUAAUUAAAUCAUGGUUGUGCCUGGGCAGCGUUAUUAUGAGAGUGAAGGUGGACGUGAUGCUACUUCCCUCAUUCCCAACAUGAAUCAAGUACCUGCAUUGAGCAAUGCAAGAGUGAGAUGAAAACAUCUCAGCAAGUAAAUUGUUUUGACGAGAUAUUUAAACCAAAAAAAUUUGAUUUACUCAACAUUUUAAAGGGAUCACAAUUGAGAUCAGAAAUACUUGUAGAUAUAGAACUCAAUAGUCCCAAAAUAACCAGUGCCAUCUCAUUUCCUCAAACAACCACAAUAGGUUGUAUAACACUUCCCUGCGUCAUCAAUACCUGCAAAUAUCACUUCAAUGUAUGCAUAGGAAUGCAAUGUUUAAGUCCUCUGCAUUCAUACUUCUUAGAGUAUAAAACCACACCAUCUGCAAAUAUCACUUCAAUGAAUGCAUAUGAAUGCAAUGCAUAUGUCCUCUGCCUUCAUACCUCUAAGGGUAUGAAGCCGAAUCGUACCCCUCCUCGGGCAACGUACGAUGCUAAGUUGUACCGGUACGGUCGGACCAUAGGUCACGACAAAACUUCAUAUGCAAGUGAAUCAUGACAUGUAUAUGGCUUGCUGCAUUUAUCAAUAUACUUCACUUCCUUCAUAUACAAUACAAACCUCAAAUAAUACUUCGUUUACCUUCAGAUACAAUACAAACCUCAAAUAAUACUUCAUUCACCUUCAGGGGUGUUUAUUAAUCUCGUGGGUCAUACUCGAAUCAUCAUCAUCAUCAAUGAUGAUUAAGCAUCAGUAUAAUACAAUCAAGUAAAGCAUCACCAUAGAGUUCAAUUAUGAAAGAAUUCGAUGAUUCUGAAUAUUAGAGUGUAUGCGAUGAAACAACAACGUCAAAACGGUAGCAACCACCGCUACAUUCAUUUGCCUUCAUCGAAGAAGAAAAAUGUACUAGGCAUGAUUCAGAGUGUAGACACCUGCUGUGGGGCUUAAAACUUAGUACAAAUAUUCCACAAACAUUUGCCAACAAUUAACAAAUCGCUCCUACACUUGAAACCAAGACCCGGUGGAAUGACUCCCACCCUGAACCACAUGCCAAACAAUAGUAGUGCUGUUUGUUAAUUUUGUAUCUUUAAAAUUAUAACAGUGGUGAUAUCAAACAAAUACUCUAGAAGUUUCUACACAAAAUACUCUACAACUUCGGUAUUCAAUGGAUAAUUAAAUUUUGCCAUCUAUAAGUUCUAAAACAUCUGAUAAGAUAACUGACUGAAUUUGUUUCAGACAGCAGCAUAGUUAACUUCAAAAUUCGAUAUCUCCCAAACUCCUCAACCAAAAAUUAUGAAAUUAUGCUGACAGUAAGAACUUUUUGUCCCUCUACAAAAGUAUCUAUAGUUGGAAGAGCCAAUUCGGCCAUUUACUAGAUGAAACCUACCAGUUAACAGACCCGCUCAUUUUUGUCAGGCAAACAAGAACCCUUAUAUAUCAAAGAGUAGUGGAUUUGAAUUUGUCUAAUAUGAAGUUUAUGGGCUUGGAUCAUUUAAAGUAUUUUAUAAUUCUGAAAGACAAGAUUAAACUAACUAUGUAUGAUCCUUUAGCACCGUACAGAUGGUCGAUGGGACAGUUACAUGGUUUAUAUAGAUGGACCUAUCUAUAUUCCUUCAGUGGUUGAGAAAAAGGUAAAGGUGUGUCACACUCACGUGUGCGCCGCCUCUGCCGAGAUGAGGCAUGGCGUUGCAAGGUGAGGCAUGGCAUGGUGCAGCACGAUCGCAGUCAUGGUCGUGGCACAGUGUAGCACUGUUGUGGAUAGAUAGAUAAACUAUUGUUGUAGUUAGAGUGCAUGAGUUUUUGAAUGCAACACUAGGAUUUUCACAAUUUAACUUAAUUAAGAAGUUAUAUCUUGAUGACACAGAGUUACCUGACCAUUGAUCUCACAUGCCCUUUUAGCUCUCUUGUUCUCUAGACUCACCCUGACUAUUGAGGUCUCUUGACUCGCCAAUAUAAACACCAUCCUAUCAUUUGCUCUCGAAUACUUUUGUGUCACAACUCAACUGUCAGAUGAGUACUCCAUUACAGCACUGAGCAGGCCUCCGAAAUGAAUAUCUACUCAGAUGAAGGACGACAAUCGUGUUCUAGGGAAAUAUCAGUGACACAACUCCUUACUUCCUCUGCUUCUUCCUAGUGUUUUUUGUUGUGAUUGAGUCGACACAGCAACAACACUGCACUAUUACAACCAGUACGACUAUAUUAACUAGCAAUGUCUUCCUUAUAUGUUACUAUUUAUUUUGCUCAUAUUCAUUAUGUUUAAAUCACAUAGGCACCUUUUUGUUGGCAUCAAAAAAUUAGUAUCAACUUUCUAGAUUAAAGUGAAACUAAAAGUACCUAAAUUUCUAUCGGUGGGGAUCGAGUGAUUCUUUAAACCGAUUAUUACACAAGUGAACCACACUAAAAUUAACAUUGGUGAAUCGUGCCAUGAUUUUUUCUAGUGGAAAAUAGCCAAACCAAGCAACACAUAUGUGGCUAUCGUUACACAUGUGUAAAGGUAUUGCAUCACACCAUUGUCACCCAUGUAUUUGGACAAUACCGAGAGGAAAAACCACUUAUUUAUUGUAUUUUAUCAAGUUUGUCUUGCUUACGUAUAAAUUAUAACCCAACAAAGUAAUCACUAAAUGUCAAAACCAACUAGAUACCAUGUCAUCUCUACCUUAUCUUACUAAUAUUCUUUUUGCAAAAUCCAAAAUUAAUCUUGCACAAGCACAAGGACUGAGAUGUGUAUAAAUAUCUCUUAAAUUAGUAGCUAAUAUAUCACACAUAUUAUUGAGACCAACUAGCAACAUAGAAAGCACAAUAGUGUACCAACAAUGGCAGCCAAAAUAUUUUGCCUCCUUAUGCUCCUUGGUCUUUCUGCAAGUGCUGCUACGGCGACCAUUUUCCCACAAUGCUCACAAGCUCCUAUAGCUUCCCUUCUUCCCCCGUACCUCUCACCAGCGGUGUCUUCGGUAUGUGAAAACCCAAUUCUUCAACCCUAUAGGAUCCAACAGGCAAUCGCAGCUGGCAUCUUACCUUUAUCACCCUUGUUCCUCCAACAAUCAUCAGCCCUAUUACAGCAGUUACCUUUGGUGCAUUUAUUGGCACAAAACAUCAGGGCACAACAACUACAACAACUUGUGCUAGCAAACCUUGCUGCCUACUCUCAGCAACAACAGUUUCUUCCAUUCAACCAACUAGCUGCAUUGAACUCUGCUUCUUAUUUGCAACAACAACAACUAC
rnacentral:lncRNA from 1 species